GAAACGGGGAGGGAAUGGUAUAGUCAUUAGCUGAAGGGGGAGAGGUUCAGUUGCUUGCUGUAUAGGAUCUUUCAGUCCGUGUAGGUUGUGGCGCAGAUUUGUUCGUGCUCUUGUCUGACGUUGUCAGUGUCGGUCAUGGAAAGAUAAGAUGCUGAUGUGUCGAGGGGGGUCUCUUUCUGGCUAACGUAUCAUUGCGCGCGGAGUCCAGGUAACGGGCAGAGAUUUUUGUAUGAAAGGUCAGCCUUUGAAACCGGAUGUAGAGAGGCGAUUUUUUUAUUUUUUGUUUUUUCUUGCCCAUCAUAUAUACAUUUUUGGUUUGCUUGCCUGUGAAUCUGGCGAGUUUGUUACCAUAUUGUCUUGAAGGUACAGCGGCUGCACAAGAUGUAUUCAUGAUUUAACUCUGUUGUUAUCAGGAACUGUCCACAUCGUGUCGAUUGCCGCUGGUGGAUGGGGAACAUUGUCAUGAACAGUGUGGACUCGACUUUUAACACUUAAUUUGCAACUCGGAAUCCUGAUUGGCGUUGUUAAACUCACCAGAAGUUGCUUCUCGAACCCCUUUCCUUAAGGCAUUUCAUGAUCAAACCUCAAAUGCUAGAGCAAUAGUUGUGGCGAUCACAUCUAGCCUAGCUACCGACAAUCCAAGCGAUAUUAUGUUCAUACGAAACAUUAUCGAUACAUGUUGAUGAACGUUUUCACCUUUAACACCUGAACUUCGUCAUAUAACUUGUCAAAAUUAUCUGCAAUGUAUUUGGAAUGCUGGCCGAUAGUGAUUUGGAUCUCAGAACUUCCUUUGCCAUUUGCAACCUGCUCUGUUGGACUCCCUAGUUCUGAUUUAGCAUCUUCUUCCAAAGCCUUGUCUGACAUUUUCUCCUGUUCAUGCAAAUUUCCGCGAUUGUAAGUACCGCGAAUGAAGCAGUUGUAACUCCUCUAUUACUUAGUUUAAUUCGCUAAGUAAACCUGUUCCAUAGCUGUCGCAGAAUUUGGCGACGCAUUAUCUUCGCGAAAAUUCGUAUGCCUUUUUAGACACAAAGAGGUGUCAAAUUUUCAAGGAGUUGCCCACUCGAUCGAGCGUGACUUUUCAUACUGACAAGACACACUCCUUCCCCCUGUUGCUUGAUGCCUGAAAUCAGAUUCUAACAACCCACAACUCAUUAAUUGCAGAAGCUGUCUUGUGUUGUAACGCUCAGGUUCGACCAGACUUUGUGCGUGAAGAGCACGAUUUCCUGUCGUCUAAGAGUCAAACGAAUUACGGUGUACUGUGUUUAUUGCAUUUAGAUAUUAUUUGCUAUAAAAGCUCGACUUCAAAAAUGGCAUGUUAAAGCUAAAACCCACACUCACAAAUCCAUGUUGCAGUAACCUAAAUCCUUCCGCUACGGUAGGUACACGUAUGCAGCGCCGGUAUUAAAAAGUAACAGACCAUUGUUACUGAACACUACAACAGCGGUUUCGAUGGACUUUAGACUGUAUUUAUUGAAGACUUUAGACUGUAUUUAUGCAAUAAUAAGUAAUAUGCCCCAGGCGUUGCCUGUUACCGGACGCUGCCCAUUACUUCAAGUCUCACACGAUAUGCACUCAUGUCGGCUUCAAUAAUGCAUUUCCACACAGCUGAAGAUCAAUGGAAAUUAGUAUAAAAAUAUACUGCUAUAUUCUUCCUGCAUCAGGGGCAGAAUCGGGCACAUGGGAUAAUACAUACCCCCUCUAACAGACCGUGUGCUUGUCAAUCAAGCACAUUAGUAACAUCAACUGAUUCACGUAAAGCUAUUUGUACAAAAAUCAUUUCUAUGCUGCUUGAUGAAAAGAAUUCAUUAUCCACCUGCCCAGAAUCAGGCAAUCUUUGGAAUAAAUUUGGCAUGUGAUCCGAUCAGUCUACAUAUAUCUAAAGAUGAAGCACACCGCAUUAGGAGAUCUGAAUGCAGAAGCUUAGCUACGCAGUCGUCUUAUUCACAAUUCUCCCAGUUGCAGGGAUGCUAUGGCUAAAUUAUAGCCCGAAGGAACAGCCAUAAUCUCAUUUCUGCUGGAUGAAGUCUGCUGUUAGCUAGUCCAUAACUUCGACCGGCUCGCUGAUACCCCAGACCAACAAGGACUUCAUGAUUGCUCUACGAUGCCUGCAAAUGCCUGAAAGGACAAAUAUAGUCCACGGCACUGCGCACUUAUGGCAGAUAAAGUGGUCUCAUAAUAGAUGCGAAGGGGUCGUAAGAUCACCAACAAUGAAGCCUACUGGUUGACUUCUUUUUCUGUAAGACAUUUAGUACGUUGAGAUCAAUGAACGCACGCCCCCAACUUCACAAUAUACAGACCAUUAUUUUGAAAGAUCUACAAUAUAUUUUUUCAUCAAUGCUACUAUCCACAGAACAGCUAUGUACAAAGUGCACAAACAUGUCUUCUCCAUUUUUACAUCCUUACCUUCUUACAGAGCUCUCUCAUUUGCUCCAAUGUUGCGAUAAGCUCCUCCUGCUUUGCCAAGACCUCCUUCAGGUCCUGGACCCGGACUCACACAAAUAUAGCAUCGGAAGUUUUAUGAGAAAGCUGCCACGCACAAAUUGCUCUACCCACUGGACCCGAAACCCUCAUUCACACCAACGAUACGAUAUAAAGACAACCAAACAUGAUCAACAUAUUCAUCAGUCUAACCUUCUUUGUUUCUGCAAGUUCUGCUUCAAGAUAUUCGAUCCUCUCUGCGGAAGGAUACACUGGAACUGUUUUAGCAGCUAAACACGUGGAAGACAAUAUGGUGAUAUCUUUUUCAAGCCGAGUCAUGCGACUGGUAAUGAGUUCUGUAGUUUUGGCAAAUUCAUCAGCCUUCAUCUUGUCCUGUGAAUCCUUCCCUUCCGGCAUCUUUGAGGCUAGCCGGUAUGGAAAGCUAAAACAAUCCAGAAUAGCCAAGAGCAGAGACGAUAACAUCGACCGAGCGUUUGCACGUGUCGUCCACUCGGGCACAGAAAUUUCUGCAAUCCAAAUAAGCCAGGUUGCUGCUGUGAACUUCUCAUCGUGUUAUUUUGAUUAAGCAUCAGGUGACCAAUCCCAACUCAAGGUAAAUAAAAUUAUUGAUGCUAUGCUGUCAGACAUAGGCGGCAGAACAUGAAUGAAUUGAGUACCUUCAUAAGUUUGACCCUCAUUCUUUCUACGAUAUCCUCUAGGAAAUGCUCCAGUGCCUGGCUUCUGUGAACAACAAUCAACGAUUCAUGACCAUUAGCAACAUUCAGCAAAAAGGUACGUUAAAAAAUGAGAACCAAAUGUUCGAAGUGAAGUGUAAACAUACGUCUGCUUUCGCUGGUGACAUCUUUAAAUUAGGAUGAUCCACACUCUUCUCUCCUGAAUCAGCAGUAGACUCAUCAUGUCCACCAAUUUCAUGCCCUAUUUCCUGUAGAUCAACAAGCAGCUCCAAUCAAAUUUACCAAUCAAGUCAAAGUCCAAAUUCUAAGCCUCAAAAGAAGAAAGUCUCAACCACCUCAUAACCACCUCAUUAACAUCAAUACAGUUUUUGAAAUACAUACAACUGAGACAUAGUAAAACAAUGAGCAAGAUCUCUGUUCACUAAAAUCUUUUCCUGCAAACUGAAAAAUGCCAAUGAAAGUGCCGAUGCAUCUACAAAACAGACUAACUUCCAACAAGGUCACAUGCUAAAACUUAAUGAAUACCCUUUUUAUGUCCUCUUCUUGGAAGGAAUCAGCAAAAUCCAUUGCAGAAGAGACGCUUUCUCUUGCACCUUUGACCUGAGUUGCAGCUAAUACGACCUGCACGUAGUAACAAAAUUGUACAGAGGAAGUGAAUUUUCUGUUAAGUUUGAUAAUGCUGAUUCAUAAGCACAGAAAACAUCAAGAAAUCCAUGCUUUGUAGCCUUGCUAGAAGUGUCCACACUCUCGUACCCUGAAUAUUAUAAUGCCAGGAUAAUGUGCAAGUUAAGAAUACGAUCGCAAAUACUGCAGUCUCGAAUUACCUUCAGAACAUCUGGAUCCCUCCAAGGACCCAUGUCAGACUGCAUACAUCCACCUUCUUCUUCUGGACAUUUGCAAGAUCCACCAAGAAAAUCUGGCAAAUUACUGUUCCAACCAGGCAAUGUUAAGUCAUAAAAUAAAACAAAAUAAAAGUUCAUGCGACAAGUCAAAGUGGUCUACUGCACAAAGACGAGUAAUUCAAGUCUACAGUUACAUGCCUCCACCAAAUAAAAUUUAAAUCACCAGAAUACUUCAAAGGUACAAGAUCCAAAUCAGAGAAUAUUAUAAUGGUUAUAUUUAACUUCUAAUCAUGCAAAACUACAAAGGACAUUGAAACAGCUGAGGACCACCACCUUUCGUCAAUAAUCUCAAGCAGUUUCUUCUGAUAGUUGUUCCCUAUGACCUGUCAGAAUAAAUACAUUCACACGUUCAAAUAAUAGUAUCAGUUCAUCAAAAGGUUAUUGAAGUACAGCACAAAUGUAGCUGGCUCAUGAAAUAUAAAAUAAACAAACUCAGAGGGAUAUACCGGAUGUACAAGUGUAACUCCUAGCAUAUUCAACUUCGUAAGGUAAUUUUAGAAGUAGAGCAAGCUGAAUGAAGUCUUGGAGUAACGAAUGCUACAUACAUGAAUUUUUGCUGCAGUAUGAGGAUCCAAGAAGCCCUUAAUAGUGCCCCAAAGCAUUUUGAACCCUGGCCCAGCAUUAACAAUAAACAACUGUGCAAGCGUCUGCAUAGCGAUAAAUCCCAUAAAAAAAACAUCAGCAACGUUCAUGUAUCACAUAAGAUGUCAUUUACAGUACUUAACUUUCGAACUGGGGAUGCACAAGUACCUCAGGAUAAUUGUCGUUGUCAACUUUCUGGAUGGCAACAAUCAAGUCUCGCGCAGGCUUACAGAAAUUCUUCAGACCCUGCAUUUAAAAAAUGAUACAUGGGUUGUAUAAUUGCAAAUUAAGAGUGUCACUGACAACUACAAUAAUGGUCAUAACGAUGAUGGUAAUAAUGAUAGCUUAAAAAACAUCAAUAAUCACUACCCUUAAUGAUCACACAGUCGAGUGAGAAUAGGGGAAUGUAUUACCACUCCAGCUACAUCGAGAAUGGUGGUAGUAGUGUGAAUGGGGCGGUUGGCUGCAACAGAGCAUGCUGGAAACUUCAAGUUUAGCAACUUCUCAAACUCUUGUACAUGAUAUUUCAAAUACCUAUCAAGAGUGGUGACUUCCAUCAAAUUCUGCGCGUGAAUUUUUCCAAUCCUUUCAAUAUACACAGGUCUGCCUUCUUUAUCCACUCCAUGAUACCCUUGAGGAUAGUAAUUCCUCACUUUGUCAAUUUCAGUAAAAACGAAGUCCUGAAGAAACGAAACAAAUAUCAUCAAUGAGAACCGUUGUACAUGUGGGCAUGUAAAGCACCCCAAUAUCUCGAAGCAUGUUCCAGUAUCCUAAAACCAACAAAUAUCACACACUUCUCUACGGAUUCGAAAGAGUACGAUUCCUAAUAACGGUUCAGGAAUCACUAAGGUCUGUUAUGGAUUGGGAUGAGCACUUCCACUGACUGGAAGCGGCAGUAAUAUCAUUCUUAAUUGCAUAUGCAAUUGCAAGCAAAUGAACGAGGGAGGCAAGAAUACAAACUUAAUGAACACUUGCCAGUCUAAUAUCUAUAUUGGACCCAGGUUUGCCAAUCACCAGAGCAGUGUAAGCAAAUCAUCCCUACAAUUGCAUCGAGAGUAAAAUUCCUGGCUUAUACUAGCUGUACCAGAAUUUAUGAAGUGUUCAUAAUACCACUGUGAUUCUUAUUCAAUUCAGAUAAAAUACACAUCAAUUAAAAUUAUAUUGAUUCAAAACUCUCAAGCACAAUAGGAUUGCAGAUUGACAACGACCUCGUCAAUUGUGUCUGUGCCAAACUCCGUGCGCCAAGCUAACAUGUUUUUCCACAUUUCUGCUGUCUUCUUGAUGUCAUAUUUCCUUGCCUUGAUAAACCUGCAUAGGAAGAAACGAAAUUUACAACAAUUCAAGUUACGUUUUCAGUACAAGAACAUUAAGCACUGAAAUUAAUGUCUAGAUAACACUUUGCCCACUAAGAAACCAAGGUCGACAUGUAAGGACUUAUGCUCUAUUUCGUACUUCUGGAAGAAAAAAGAAAAUCAUCCCCAGAACAGAUCAGCACUAAAUAGUUCGACCACAAGCCUCAUAGAAACUCCCCACUUUGGCUAUCGUAUAUUAUGAGUUUCAAAACUACACCAAGAACAAUACUUUGUCCUGAAUGUCCUUGUCCUCAAGUAGUGCACAAUUAAAUGGUAAUAAUCAGAUGAAGAUCAAACUCCACUACUACUUUUUCGGUGACGGAAUACCCACCUGAGGAAAUCCACUGUGUAACAAGAUGACUUUGCCCAAAAACGAGCGGAUAUCGACAACAUCAAACUUGAUUAACCUAAACUGCAACCUAUAAUACCUCGCAAAACAGAGUUACCUAUUAAAAUGGAAAUCAAAUAUCAAGAACCGAAUUAUAAAGCACCAACCUCAGAAGAACAUGGUAAUCAUCAUGGUCAUCCGGAAGUAAAUUUCUGCUAUUCAGCUCUCUGCGAAGUUCUUCGACUGCUUGCUGGUCCUUCGAAUCGCGUAUAUCUUCGAUAGGCAGUGACAAGUUCUUCGAUCGAUGAACACCACAACCGCGUCGUUUUUUAAGAGAAUUACGAAACUUAGAGGUAGCUAUGAUGGCACGAAUAGCUCCGAAUUUUGCUCUACUGCAGCUGCCUCGAGGUGAUUCACAAUCGGCAUUGUUGGAGGACACCGUGUGAUCUGAAUGUCCGCCGCGACUCCCAUUCAAUUCUAGACAACGAUGAAAACAACGAUGAAUAACAGGUGCACACUCUUGUUGUUCUUUACAUGCAUCGGAGAAAAGCUAAUCAAUUUGUCAACGCUUGGUUGUCAAAGUGUAACUGUCAACACUAAAUGUGCUUAGAAAUCUUCACACCAACAAACUACCAGCGUAUACAUGAAUAGAAACGAUACUAACCUUGACUUUGAGCUCCCAUGAUGACCUAACACAUGUAAUCUACAGAACCCUCUGUCUUAGACUCCGAAUUGCUUCAGUAAAUAUACUUGUCCAGAAAAUUGCUGUCAUGACGGAGGCAUUUCAACACUCCUAUAUAUACUUCACGCCGGAGUGCUCCACAGAAGCCCUGAUCGCAUCAAACAAUUAGAUGCUAAGUGGAAUCUUACUGUCUUCAUAGAAUACUCAAGUCCAACCAAGAUCAAAGACAUCAGUGCACAGAAGAAAAUCCCUGGAAGACUAUUAGAGUUAGGUCUUACAAUAACAUUACAACAAUGCUUACGUGUGGGUAAAAUGUCAUCAGUUACAAACUCGUUAAGUUCUAAAAACACAGGUUUAAAGACCAUAAUGCUCCAACAAGGAUCGAGUUACUAUCUUCUUCACAUGAAACUCACGAGACUUAAGAUCUACACAACCUCUUUCAAAAAGAGCCUGCCAGUAAAGAGCAAGUCUGUGUUAAUUUGAAGUUCAGUGGAUAGGGAACGAGAAACCAUAAGUACGCGGAAAUCACGUCCGUCACGUAGUGCUUCACUCUAGAAAUGAGAUUUAUUUAUUUCGAGAAAAUUUUGUCAAUCAUGCGAAAUUCGUUCUCGAGGACGUUCGACCAAAUCGAAUAUAGAAACGAAAAGAAACAAAUGUUACAUAAAUUCAUUUUUUCUGAAAUUCUGACAACACUCUCUCAAUCCUCGCCACAUUCUCAAUUCGCUAGAAAAGAGAAAACUCGAAUUACUCUUUCAAACAUCACGAAAUCACUCGCUUCCGUCCACGCUGUUCACGGUAAACAAUAGCACCCCUGCCCCUUACCCCCUAUCCCCACAACCCAAUACAAAAAACAAUCUCUAACCCUGAAAAUCCGCACUUCCCUCGGAUUCCGUCCGCUAACACCUCCAAGGCCUUCAAACUAAGACUCUCCAUCCUCACAAUGUCAUUCUCUCACAAUGCUCGUCCUCAAGAAAACGAAAUGAUAAUCAUCACCAUCGCACCACCUCCAAUAAUGUCACCGACAUCACUCCUCACCAGAGCUCGCACCUUCUUGUCCCCUAUCGCCUCCUAUCACCUCAUCCCCUUUGUCUUCUCUUCCUCUCAACUUCCCUCAACCAUCAACUCACUCAACAACCUGUGGAUCACGACCAUAAACAAACACUUCCAAUCACUAUCACGCGGUGCCGAAACCGAAAAAGAAGCAACAUAAUGGGACGCUUACAACUCACCUCCAAAGCGGGCGGCCAAUUUCGCAAGUGACAGCAAAUAGAAGGACGCCGGAGCGACCUCGCAAGAACGCUAACCGAUCUGCGGGGGCUGCUGCAGCCGCUAACUCCGCGCUUCAGUCCCGGCAAUCAAACCGCGACGAGGGGAGGGACUCAGCAAAGAGAGGGGCUAAAGGCGCCCUCGCUCACCGCGUUACGCCUCGAAGGACAGCAAGCAGCGACUGACAGACGGGGGUUCGAAUAUAGGGCAUCCGGCGGUACUCGGUCGUCGCUGUCCGAUGCAUCAGGCCCUGUAAGACGCCGUUACAGGCUGACAUCGCGCCUGCCGCUGCGGCUUCUCUACGCCACUCUGCCGCGCGGCUGCGUCAAACCCCCCAAUAGUUGCUUGAAUUAAGUGGCCGUUUGAAAGGGAACCUUUUGUGCUGGUCCACUUUGUGGCCUGGGAUUGUGAUUGCUGGGAUUAUUCCCUUGUUAAUUCUUGCAUCGUGACCAUGAUUCUCUCCAAAUAUGUCACCUUUAUUAUUGUUUUCUUUAUUACAUCUUCUUGUUGCUAUUUUCUCCUUUUGGACACUGUUGGGCUGUGGAAACUUGAAUCAUUUAUCACCUAUUUCAUGAUUAAAAGUCGUGUGGGUUUCGAGUUUGGAUUUGAAAUUUUGAUGGAAUCUUCUCCUAUUGUUUAUUUGUUUAUUUUGUUUGGUUUCUUCGAUGUGAAUCCUAACGUCUCCUCAAGAAUAAUUCUGUUUACUGUAUAAUAGAGUUACAUGCUUCACAAUUAUUAUUGUUAUUAUUGUUACGAUUCUUAUUGCAACUGUUGGGGUUUUCUGCACUAGUGAAAACAUCUCUAAUCCAGCAACACUUAAUGUUCAUAAUCGGAAAGUUUUAUUAAUCUAGGAGCAUUCUUUAAUGGUUUUUAAUAGAAAUCCUUUCAUAUUAUGCGUCAUUGUCAGUAUACUGUUUUAUGACUAGUAAGUGAUGUUAUUUCUAUUUGAUGCAAUUUUAAUUCAAGAUUAGAUAUUUCUACUGAAAGAAUUAUUCCUAAUACUACAUUAGUUUGUAAGUAAAGAAAAUGUAACCGUUGAACUCAAUGAAGCACAAGAAAUGUUAUCCAAUAAUUUUAAUGACUUUAGAUUUUAAAACUUUAAAUAAUUCUUGAAAUGUUUGAAGAUUUUUUGUUAUUAUAUUUUAAUUAUUAAAAUAGAGUGUGUAUCAAGUUUUCAAAGAAGUCCAUUCUAGAAGUUUGAAUGACAAAUCUUUAAAAGCUUGACUCACAAGUUUUUAGAUUUCCAAAUAAAAGGACAAGUAGAUUUUGACUGAAGCAAACUUUGUUUGCACAUUUUGUUCCCUUAAAAUUGCAAUUUAAAUUGUAAAUUUUAAACUUUUUAACAGUAGAAAUAAAAAUCAUGACCAGUAAAAUACAUCAUUAAAAGGUCAAUAUUUAUUUGUAUUAGUUGAAGUACAAUUUGCAUGUCAAUGAGUUUUGAAUUAAAAAUUGGAUUGGAUUUGUCAAAAAAAAACCCAAACAUAAUAUAAUAUUUAGAUAAAUUAUUAAACACAUAUAUGUGUAUAUAUAUCUAUUAUAUAAAAUAGUUUGGGUAGAAGACAAAGAAGUCUUCUCAUAGGCCCAACAUGGGAAUGAGGGAAUACGGAUGAAUGAGGGAACAUGGAUGGAUGGUACUGCCAAAGAUCGCAAUGCCCAACAUCACAAGUUUUCAUCAGUAUAUAUGAAUAUAUAUGAGUUCAUUCCACAAGAUAAAUAAUUAAAUUAAAUUACACGUAAUAUUUUUAUUAUUUCAAAGCUUGUUUCAAUCUUGAUAAUCACCUCUUUUCCAGAAAAAAAUAUAGAAAUAGAAAAUUAAGAUCUCAAAAUUUUUCAUUUGAAAGCACAUCUUUGCACUUUCGAACCACAUUUCAUGCAUUCAAGUCAUUGUGACCACCUUGAUACAACCAUGAUCAACACAAAAAUGUGACUUCAAAGAGCCAACAACGUGAAACACAUAAAGACUACAAGGCAAAUAUAAAUAGAGAGAAGUAAAAGACAGACAGACGGACAGACAGAAAGAGAAAGAAUUGUGAAUUAUUGGGGGAUUGGCUGUGGGACGUUGAACACAUGGCAGCCUGGGCAAUAACUCAAUGUGGACGAAUGAUGUCGUACAAACGAAUGAAAUAUUUCAUCCAUCUUGUUUUGCGAAGCUCACCUUCUCCGGAGAUACGCCAGGCUCGAAAGCAAUAAUGAGACUUCCGCAAUCGCAAAAUUCGAUGAGUUGCUGACCCACCAAUCGCAAGACGGGGUCGCGGGAAUGCUGGGGAAUUGUUCGGGAUCAUCGAGCAAGGGGGCAGCAUUGGGCGCUCCUCGUUCAUCCGCUUUGCUACGACCUGAUUGUAAUUUUUUCGCUUGCCUCGGAGCGUGUCGACCGUGUACACACGCGCCUUGGAUGAGCGCUUUACGUAUCAUCGAUUGAAAGAAAGGGUGUCAGACUCUACUUGCACAGCUGCUUUCUUCGAGGAAUUGGUUUGUGCUCGGGGUGUGAGUCAUCGUGUGGUAGCCCUGCAUGGUUUAGGAUUGAAACCGAGUGUCCUGGAUAUAAUUUCGGCAACUUUUGAGCGAAAAUUAGAAUCUCGGGAUGCAGUGAGAUACAAUAGUAAUUUUGACGAAGAAACUACGGUCUCAUCAUCCCGCAUCUCCACCUCCAGCACAUGCACCCACUCAGCCUCUUCAUGCCGUCACCGUCGUAAGUUCAGUCGGUAUUCGGACUUUGGAAGCAGUUCCGAAUUCAACUUCCAAGUGGUGAUAUGUCGGCAUGCGAUUGCCUAUUUAUACAUCCUCCGCCUCAGAUUUGGGUGACUUUUGACCACAGAAUUAGUCGCAUCAGAAAACUCGCAAGUCACUUCAGAAGGACGCUUGGAAACAGUUUCCAAGGAUUGCCGAAUUCGAUACAUUACUUUGUGCUCCAUUGAAAGCUAUGGUUGAUUGUGUAUGAGCUUUUUCCUACGGCAAUUCGUGUGGCGGUCGGUAACUGUUGCAGUCAAGGGUUACUGACGGUGGGACGGCAAGUUGAAAUAACCUUAGGACUCUGCAUCACUCGGCCUUCCCAGUUUCGGUGUAAUUCGUCGAAGAUCCAUCGCUGCCACGAUCUAAUGAUACCAAAAAAGCACAGCAUCAUCAGCCAUAUAAGGGUGUGAGUAGAUUCUUUUUCUCCAUAUUUGCCCCUGACAUUUACUAUUAUGAAUUAUGCUGCAUGACAAAUUAUUACAUGUUGAUGUCUGUUGGGUUUGAUUAAGGUUGGUAUCAUUAUUGUUUGUACUUUUGCAAAACAAGGGAGAUGUUGUUUUGUAUUGAAUGAGGUCGACUUUGCUACAAAAGUAACAGGGGGCAUAAACAGAACAGAGUGAAUUGGGUAAUGAAUUUAAUGAAUAGAUCUACAAUGUCUUAUAGUGAGAGAGAUCAUUCGUUUGGAGUUUUAUUUUUUUAAUUUAUUUUAAAUGCAUUCUUUUUUAAAGGCGGGGGAGUGAAUUUUUAUUAUAUAUAUAUAUAUAUAUAUAUUUAUGUAUAUAUAUUGUGUUUAAGGUAUGUUGUAUUGUGCCCUUGUUUAAUAAAUCAUUAGUUGGAAAUUAUUAUUAUUAAUGAUGAAUGUAAUAUAUAUAUAUAUAUAUAUAUAUAUAUAGUAUUAAAUGAAGAUGUGCCAGUAGAAAUCCAGCAUUUUAGAAAGAAAUUGCAUACACAUAUUUGUAUGGUUUAUUUAUUUAUUUGUGUAAAUAACCUUUUUUCAUUUUUUUCUUUUUUCAAAUUCACUUGUCUUUAUUUUUCAACCAAGGAUGCAUGUUGGCAACUAGCCAAAUCAAUUUCGUUAGAGUGUAGUUUUAGAUAAAUAUUUUAUUAAGAAACUUAAUCACAAAAUUUGACAUUUGAUUCCUUUCUAAAUACACAUAUCCAUGAUAACAUCUUUAAUCAAAACAUCAAAGAUUACAUUAUUUGUCACCAGAGUACCGUUAAAUCAUUGAUAAAUUUUGCAAAUCAAGAUCUUGAACUACAUACUUAUUUGCACAGUAACUUUGAUCACAAAAACCUCCAUGUUUGCAACCAACACUCAAGCGAGGCAUGAAAUCACAUACAAAACCAGAUUUACAGAUGGAAAACCAAGCUACAUCAUCACAAAUCAUCCCAAUCCUUAAAAAGACCCACACACCAUACAAAACCUGCUCAAAAGAAACUAUUAGCUGAACUGAUGCUCUGCAACAUACACUCACACACAAAAAAAAAAAAAAAGAAAAAAAAAAAAGAAAAAAAGAAAAAAAAAACUAGUCAAGGUUUGCAUUGGUUAUUAUCAUUAUUAAAGUGAAAAAGGCUAUUCACAGACCUCUGACGUGUCCGAUUACCACACGUACGAAAGCGUCCACUUAUAACAGGCUUGCCACGUGCUGUAUAAAAAUGGAGAGACCGGCUGUGGUUCCGAGGUCGAGGCGGGGGCAAGAUGUGGAAGUGUCGGAGUCGCGAGGCGGGGGUUGUGGAGGCGCCAUUGCUGGACUGCAGGAACCCAACCACAGACCUGGGAGCCUGCUCCUGCUGCUUUGUGCUGGAGGUGGUGGUCGUUGUCGCGGUGUGCGUGUGCUGGGCCAUAUUGCAGACUUUGCACCCACCACAACCACGACUGCCGGUGCUUCAUCCCUUUAGUUCAUGCUAUGUCCCACCUCCCCUUUCUCACACCCAAUCGUCAACUGGAAGCCGCGUCGUCGCUAUUGCUUAUUCGCACACCCACCAAGCAAGUCUGUCUGUCUGUCUGUGUCCUUCUCAGGUCCUGAUGUUGUUGCCCUCUCUGCGCUCGUAUUUCUACCCCUGUCACGUAGUUGUGUGAUCGUGAGCUUGUUUUGAUUUGCUGGCGGUGAAUAAUGCAUCGAAGCAAAGUACAUGAGUGUAUGUUGAUCGUGCUGUGAGUGAGCGAGUUUCGCUCGAGUCCCGGGUUGGAUUUUGUGGGUUGUGGAGGGUUUGUAUAGGCGAGGGUGUGGUGCGGUUCCUAUCAAUGUGGGUGGGUCUGGGUUGCAGGUGGUGUGGACCCUCACUCCAGAGAAAACUGGAACGGUACCAAGAGUGUCGAUGGAUCUUCAAUCUGGUUAAGGCAGAUACUGCAUAUAAUCUUGUUGGAAGGGCCGACAAAGCCGUGAUUUAAUAUCGUUCCGAUGCUCUGGUUGUCGAAUUUAACCCUUUUCAAAACCUUCUAUUUUCAUGGGAUGAGGAAUCAUUGCGGGGACUGCAGGAGCUCUAUUCUCUUUCACACACCUUAUGUUCGGUCUGGGGGCAACUCUUUUCCACACCACUCUAUUCUAUCAUACGUCACAUGCCUGCUGGUUAUGAAUUCCAUUGAGGGAAAUGCAAUGAUAGACAAAUAUGUAUUUGUGAACGGAUGUAAUGACAAUAUGACAACAAGAAUUCGUUCGCAAUCACUGCGUUCAGAUUCAGUAUUUGGACCGUUUGUUCUCAAUCUACGUAUAUUUGAUAUCGUGAGGUGAUUACACUUCAUGCCAACUGACUGCUAGUUCCCGUCUUGUACUCAAACUGCUGCUAGAUCUGUUUUUUUCGUAUAAGGGCAAUUGGUGACUAUGAUAACCAUUGAUAAUCAACAAGUUACUAAAGCCUGUACUUAACAGCCCUGGAAGGAAGGGUGGAGCAUUCCAUCUAAUAGGAAACUCUAGUAUCAUUUUGAACCCUAAUGAACUCUUAACAAAGCCGAUCUGGUGACAAAAAUCAGCUCUUGAAACUUUUAAUAUUUGAAACCCAUGGAACUGCGAUGGAACACCCAAGUAUGAAACUAGUCGUAACAAGUCGCUUUAUACACCAGCUGCAGUGACCUCAGGACCAGCUCCUGGGCCUCUCACGAUGUGACGUUGCUCGGAUUUGUAUCUUGUGGUGGUAAAAGCAAUCAUAUUGUCCGCACCGGAAAGUUGAGCAAAGGCAUCUGAUAUCGGUUUACUUACCAGUUGUACCCUGCCUUCCCUCUUCACUACAUCUACUAUCCCUACAAAUCGCAAGACCUGUGCAAAGGAGGGAGCUGGUUCAGUUUGAGUCAAUUCAACAUAAAAUAAUCACAUUCAAGAAGACGAAUGGUAAAUUUUUAUGUCCUAGAACGGUGCGAAGAACUCACUUCUCUUGCUGUUUCCGCUUUUUUCCUCCGGGUUCAAUCACUUCAUCGAAACUUUUCGGAAGCUCCUCCAAGUACUUUUCCGCAGUAUCAUGACUCUGAUAUACGUUCAGGGUGGAGGUGGUUAAAUUCGGGAUCUCUUUGUGCGACACUAUACUAGAAACAAACUUUCGAAAGGGUUUCACAAAAUGAGCAGAUGAUUUAACGAUGCGCAAAUUACCAGGAGAUCUUCAGACAUCCAGUCCUCGUCUAUUUUAACAUCGUCAAGUUCCAACCGCAGUCCACACUCCCGAGCGAGGAUGGUGACCUGUGUUCAUUUCACGUCCGAAAUGCUUUAACGUCUCUGAUAAGAUUCUAUAAGCAAUUUGACCUGAUACUCACAUGGCAUAUUCGAUUCUUUAAAUAUCUUUAUCUUGACGAAACAUACUCCUUAAUCCCAUACCUUACGACCCACGUCCAUUCCAGUAAGAUCAUCCUUUGGAUUAGGUUCCGUGAGCCCUUCGGCCUUGGCCUCUGUAACGAUCUGACUGAACGGCUUCUCCCCGUUAAAGUUAUUAAACAAAUAGCUCAACGUGCCGCUGAAUCAACAUAACCGCUAGUUAGCGAACUGCCAGUUCAAAAUGAAAGCAUGAAGCCACCUUCGCCAUUACCGUUGUGAAAUCAUUGAGCUAACUUUUGUUUAUUUUAUGGCACGAAUCCGAUUAUGUGUAUGACGAUUUUCUAAAGACUAAAAUCAAGAACAACAUAAUUAAUGGAGAGCCGAGCAAACACUUGCUGACCUGAGAACGCCCUCCACCUUCAGAAUCUUGUCACCUGUUCCAAUAAGUCCACGCAAAGUACUGAUGAUUGGUAGCCCUGCCCCAACAGUUCCUUCAUAGAAAUAAUGAAUGCCUGACUGGCGUUGUAAUCGCCUCAAUCUCGCAUACUACAGCACAACAAGCAAAUUCUGAGCUUUGCAUAUUAUGGCUACCUAGCAUGAAUAUUAACUUCUGAAGUGCACACACUUGAAAACUUCAUAUCCAGUUUUUUUGCUCCAAGUCUUGUAGAGUAAUCUUCAUAAGACAGAGAACGAGAAAGAUAAUAAUUCGUCAAUUUGUCAAAUGAGUGACAAAUAAGAAACGGCAUAUCAAUGAAGUAGUACCUGUUCAUAUGGUCCUGAAUUGGCUAUUUUGUUUGGGGUUAUGAUGUGGAUGCCCUUCUGUAGCCAGUCAUAGUAAUUUCCGGUAACAUCGUCGUCAGCAGUGCAAUCUACAAUCACAGCAUUUGGCAAAGAGUGGCUCUGCAUAUGUGCUGUAAAUAUAGCGAUAUCCUUUGGGACUCCUUUAGUUUGCAGCAGCUCCUCCCAGUUUGACAAGUCAAUAGCUCUGCAAAACAUCGCAACAUGCGUGAGAGAAGUCAAUCAAGUUCAUCUAUAUUGUCUAAAGAGGCGUCACCUUCCUCCGAUCAACCUAGUAAGGAUGAAUUUCGAAUCUUAUUAUGCAGGGAUGAGCAUCUAACUACAAAAAAACACUUUUCAUGCUGCUCUUCCGUUUCAGAGUCGCUACUGUAUCAUCGUCAAAAAAAAAAAAAAAAAACAAACAAACAAACAAAAAAAAAACAAAAACAAAAACAAAAACAAAAAAAAAAAAACUCGAACAGGUCACAGAUAAAAUCGACGCGUACUCACGUUUCACUUAAGUACAUUUUUGUUCUAUUUUGAAUACCCAUCACACGAAAGUCUACUUUAUUGUCCUCCUUCAAUAUUGCCACCUGAUGACAUCCAACCACUCAGAUUAAAAAUUUGAAUAUAAAAGAAAGAAAAGCAAAGAAAAGAAAAAAAAACGGAAAAUAUCAAGCUAGCUACUGUAUGCAAAGCUCAAUUCCACACGCAAUUUUUUCUGGGUUUCAUUGAAGAUCACUUGAAUGAAACCCAGAAAAAAUCGAGAGCGAUCAAAGCAAUAAAUACUGGAUCUUAAAAAAGAAUGAUGGCAAAUAUAUCGAAUAGAUACUGGCCUGCUCUUUAAAUUGGUUCAGAAGAGCCUUUCCAAUAGAGCCAGGACCAACAAGCCCAACAGCUAUGGACGUUUCAUUAUGAUAGAACCUGGAAUGCACAGCCUUGAGAGCUCGAACAGCAUCAUUCUGAUCCACCACCACUGUGAUAUUGUAUUCUGAGCAUCCUUGAGCGAAUGCCCUCACAUUGAUGCUGGCCUGCAAUACGCAGAUGAAAAGAGUCCUUCAAGAUAAGAAAUUGGGGCUCCGAAUUCAAUUAAUAGUGCGUAACACACGCUUGAUAUUCAUCAGUAAAAAAAAAUUAAAAAGUUUCUUUUAGGAAAAAUUAAGUAAAUGAAAACCAACUGCCAAGACACAUCAAAAUCACUCGGUCAUCAUUCAGCUGAACAUUCUACACAUCGAAUUCUCUUCUGUAUGUCCAUGCAGACCUUAGAAAGCGCAUCGAAAAGAUUUGCACUAACAUCGGGUGUGCUAGCCAUCCGAUGCCCCACUGCAGCAAGUAUGGAACAAUUUUUUACCACCUCCACCUGUGCAACAAAAAGACCACAGUUAGGAGCUCAUACUGGGCUCUAGUUAAAUAUGGCCCUUCAACCACUAGCUAAUAGUAAAACAGUUCAUUUUGUGAAAGACCCAUUACCUUUGAUAACCGUUCAGCAUCAAGAUCUUUACGGAACUUCAGCAACAAUGCUUCACGAACUGUGUCCGCUUCCUUCUCAGGAACCGCAAAGCACACUGAGUGUUCACUACUGGCCUGCAAGAAACAUGUGGAAGAGCAUGAAGUCAACAGGCUUUCUACAUCAAAUCUUAAACGCUGAAUAGUUCAGCCAUGGAAAGCCAUACAAAAAAAAGGAUAGAUCUUAUUCAGCGAUAUCACACAAACUCCAGAUGGUAUCCGAAAAUUACAUGCUUGCUACUAUGGCUGUUCUACUCUCUUCUUAGAGAGAUAUCAACUAAAUUCAACCAUGAAUUCUAUAUCCUUCUUGAUACAAACCCAUGACUCCCAAGUCACAACCAAGGAGGACCUCUGUUUAGACCUUGGAAUCUCCCUCAUACCUUUCGAACCGCCGCAGCAAGCAACUUCGCAGCCCACACCUCUCCGUGUCCUACCACCCAAUCUUCUAAGGUCUCAGGAGCGUACCCAGCUGCAACCCGCAUCAAUUGAUGUAAGUAUGGGGGAACAUCAUGAUGAAGUACACAACUACAAUCUACGUCCUUCUCUUCUAUUAAGUCAUGCUCAAGGUGAAAGAUAUGUGCAUUGAAGAAGACGUAAGGGAAGAAAAUGAGGAUUGAUUUGACAGAUUUCAAUGUAAAAGUUCAGAGCCCAUAUAAUACCGAUACUUAUAGCUCGAAGCAUUGCCCGGAGAUUGAAAAUAUCUGCUUCCAAGUCAGAGAGAAACGUGCUAAGCUCUUUCCCUAUCUCGAGAAGAGUCUGCAGUUUUUUUGUGCUUGUCAUAAACCUCUUCCAAGUCACCUUCGUAAGAAGCAUCACGCUUUUGAGCUUUAUAUACUAGACCAUACAUCAUGUCAGUAACCUGAGACAUGGCUGACACAACUGCUACUUUUCGUUUUGAGGUAUCUUCAACAAUGAUCUUUGCGACAUUUUUAAUCCGCUCAGAAGUGGCCACACAAGUCCCACCGAACUUGUGAACAGCCCAUGACGCCCCAAUUGGAAGAAUGCUACUCUCCUCAUCGGUGCUAAAAGCAGUCCCUGGAGAGAUAAUGCAAGACCACCUCGUUAAGGGCUGACGGAUGUCGGGUACCUCAUAAAAAACGUUCCACUUCCACUGCAGAAUAUGUGGUCUUGUGGACAAGAAGAAUCAAAUUAUGUUACUUGUUUCCGUAGCAAACCUUCCAUUUAAUAACAGGAUUAUGGCAGGAGCGAAACCUGAUGCUGCUACAAUUGGCCUGAUUCUUUGCUUUUUAACACUCUGACCGUGCAAUCUGCAACUCGAUACACAAGAUUGAAAGUCAUCACGUUAGCCACUAAUAUCCCGAUUUCAGCGCAGCAUUGAUAAACAUUGUUGACGUCGAAGAAAAUAAACAGAUUAGAACGUAAUUGUCUGCAAAAAAAACUCAAUGGAUCAGUACUUAAUGAUCACUCGGCAUAAUUGAAUAAAAAUACAGCAUUCACCACUCACACCACUCCACCAAAUCCAUCGUCAGGAACAGAAAACAGAAUCAAACCAAACACAAACCACGCAAGUUUCAAAUUACUCACAAACGUCCGGUUCUGACCCAAAAACAAAAUCUUCAACAAAUACCUCAAGAAAGCGUCACCCCUCUCCCUCUCUCUCGAUCUCGUGACAACACGAACCUCAAUAACGAAUCCAAGGCACGGAACAUAACGAAGCAAUCGGCAGGAGAAUGGCUAAGAAUCUCUCACCUGACGGAUGGGGUGGGGGGCAAGAGUACGAAGGAUCGUGAGGAAGCUGCACUCAAGCAAUCAGUGGAGGCUUUGUGGGUGGAUCCCAAACACGGUGAAGAACGAGAGGUGUGCGAGAACGAAGUCGUCACCGACAGAGCUUGACAGGCAAAUUGCAAUGAAGCAAUCAUGACUAUUGGACCAGCUACAACACAAAAGUGGGUAUUUUUCAAGGGUUUAAGGAGGAGGUAAGACAAAGGCAAGAGUGAGAUCAGAACCGAUCGCGACAACAUACAACAAAAUUAUUCUUAGGACCAACAAUCUGUGUGUCGCUUGACGCCGCAACUGUCGCCGUGGUGAGCUCUUGAGACGCCUUGCGACACCGUCUUAUGUUGUAAGAGUAAUACAAGCGCCAACUUGGGUACCGAUUUCCUUGUGAUUGGGAAAAAAAAACCCACCGACAGUCCGAUUAAUGAGCGAUCAAUCAUGUAUUUGACUUAGUCUGUUUCGUGCAUUUUGUCACCUGGAGUUUCACAAUCCACUCGGUGGUUUUAUCAAUUUGUUUUGCUCAAAUAUUAUAUUUCACUUUGAAGGAUUAUAUUUUGACAAACAUAGAAGGUAGAUGUGGUAGAAUUUCAUGGUGCCUUUUAAAGGUGGUGUUUUGGCUUCAUGAUUUAUUGGUGGUUUUAAGAUCACUUGUGAGGUAAGUUACUACAUUUUAUAGAAUUUUUUCCAAUAUAGAUUCUAGCUAUUUUUUACAUUUUUAGAAUUUUGUCAAAAAAAUAAAAUUAUUAUAUUUUUUUCAAAAAAAUUACAAUAUAAUUAACUUAAAAUAAUGAACAAUAUCAAGUUUUAAGUUUUUUUAUUGUAUUAAUUUUUUACUACUUUAGAAUAAUAAAAGAAAUUUUGUCAUUUUGUAUAUGGGGAGUGAGAAGCACCUGGGAAUAUCCUUUAGGUCUUACCAUUACUAUAUUUGGGCUUAAUUAGUUGAGUUAAUCGGUAAUAAAGUGGUCUGCAGCCACUUCAGGUGGUAUUCAUUAUUUGGACUAACUUGUUAUAAAGCUUGAAUUAACUAUCUGAAUCCCAGAAGUCAAUUUCACAAUUCCGUAUUUCCUGAAGUCUGUACCCUAUAUGCCUGUAUUUCAUACGUGUGCCCUCGUAGGUCUGUUCUCCGAAGGUCGGUGCAGUAAUCGACCACAGCACCAUAUAUCAAGAACGCAACUUUGAACAGCAGGAAGCACUUACAAUGCUUGCGUGGAAGGUAGCACAACUACAUUCAGAGGACUACGGCUGAGUUCUACGCCGUUCGGGUAUCUACACAUUUUUCUUAUGUUUGCUUUAAACACGCUAGUUCUAUGUGGAAGCAACUAGUCUACUGCUUUCCCUCCGAGUCAAUUCUGACCUGAGCUAAACAACAAAAGCUUAGGAAGAGUCCCUUAAAUCAUGGAACGACUCCCAUUCAGUCAACUAUGAAUACCUACUAUGGCUUUGAUAUUCGUGUCAAACAUUCCGUCUGAUGUAACUGACGGUUCCAAUUGCUGCAACAGAUCUGCGAAAGACGUAUAUCCGGUAAACCCUACAGAGAUGCCUGAGGAUCUACAGGGCGCGAGGGAAGGAGAGCGCGAGCAUUGUAACGACGCAGACAGGGACAAAGUCAAGCAUUCUCCCCCCCCCUCCAAAAAGGCCAACUAGUAUAAUUAUUUUGGAUAGAGCUUUUAAUUCAAUGAAGCGGUUUCAGAUCGCUGUUUGGAUUGAAGAGCGAGGCGAGCAUCCCUCUCUUUCUCGUACUCUCGAAGAUCAGACCGUUGGAGAAAGGCAACUUUAUCCAAAUAUUUGUCUCCACUUUUCUUGUACGCUUCGAGCUCAUCUUCUAUUCCCUUCUCCUCUUUAAACUGCCCCCAAUCCUUUCUACUUCUAUCCAAAAUAUUGGGCUUCUGUUUUUUACAAAUCUGCUGUAAGAUACUAUCCAGCCCAGAUGACGAUGAAGCGUGCAUCUCUGAUUUUCGUCUCGAUGAUUGGGCAGCCGUGGAAUCCUUAGAAUCUUCGGAAGUCUUUAAAUUUGAGCUUGUGGUAGUGUCUGCUCCUUCCCUUAGCCUACUGAGUACCUCAUUAACCUGCACGAUCCGUAACACAAUAAGAACAGUAUUACAUUGGAAGAUAGGUUCUAAGAAUUAGGCGUAAUACUUAACAAACCGAUGAAGGGUCCCAUCCAUUGAACUCUAAGCUAUCGACGAAGAACGCUAACACUGUGAGGUUAAGCACACAUUUAGCUUCAAGGAAUAACCCGUACCAGGAGAGCAAGUAAAAACCAAACAAUUCUGCAUUCGAACGCAGAAGCAAAAAUAACAAAUCAUGCAAAGUUCCCGUUUCGAGCCUACAACUAAACGAGCGAAAUGUUUUCACAACUUCUGCAAAUCCACACAUCUCGUAGUAGAACCUAGCAUAAGGACUUGACGACAAACUUAGCACCACAAUCUAAAACCGCGGAAUAUUUAAUGGUUUCCCAGGAGGUAGCUCCGAUCUCAAAGAAGAAGAAAUGUUGGGGUUGAGAGAUGUACUUUUAAGUCGGAUCCUGAAGAAGUGCUUAUUUCCUUUAUCUCCGCCUCAUUUCGAGCACUUUCUUUUACUUCCACAUGGUCAUGAGCAGUGGUUGCCUGAAUACCCUUAUUCAGGCCAUUAUCAGCAGUUCCGUUCGUUACCUUCAGCAAUUUCUCACCUUGGUCUGAAACUAACUUGGAUCCUUUCGGUGGUGCAAUUCCAAGAGACACCAUCCAACUCUGCAACGUUUAAUUUAUCUGGUCAAAGACGUUAUGGUUACAUGCAUGGAAACAAGGAAAAGCAGACAAAUGAUAAAUGUCGCAAGUUAAUCGGAUAUUCGUAAGUUUAGAGUAACGUAUUUGUACGACAAGCAAUCGAUCAUAGAGGAGAGUGACGAGUUAAAAACAGGCGUAAAAUUACCGGCACAGCUUUGGAUGGCUUGCUAGAUUUCGACACUUUCUUCGUCUUCGGCAAGACCGUCUUGGCAGGUAAGGGAUCCUUCACUUUUAACUUCUCCCAGAUAUCAUUUACUUUCGCCUUCCUUGCCGCCCUUUCAUCUACAUUUGAACUCACAGUAUUAAUCUCUAAAGUGACAUAACUGGCAUUAUCGCUAAUUCAUCUCUGAAGGCUGGGAUCAAGCAACUGGCAGCAACCCAAACCCGACCCAACCAAUCUAAGAAGAGGGAAACUGCACUCUAACCUCAUCGUCGUCUAUUGAAAAUAACUCAUCACCAGACUCAUAUACAAAUAUCCUAAAGUACCGGCAUCGCCACAAAGAUAUCAGUGUAAGAAAGGUUCCUGAUGAAAUUAGGGCUUUCUCGAUCAAUAGGCAUCUCCUGAUCCAAUCAUUGACCUAGACUCGCCUUUCUCAAGAAGGUUAACUCCAACCAACCACAAUCUCGCCUCUAUAACUCCGAUCAGCAUCACAACACCAAUCCAAAAAAAAAACUAAACUAAACUAAACUAAACGAACAAAACAGGGUGACUCUCGAAAUGCUCAGCACGCAAUGAAUCCUCACCCGUACUACCGUCCGGGUUCACACCAAUCUCGCCAUCGUCCUUCCUCUCGGCCAGGUCCGCCAUGGGUGCUCUCCUUCCGCAGAAACAAACCCGCACGCAGUCUUCAAGCGGACCACCGCAGCAGCCACCACGACCACAACCAACACCACCGAAAGGCUCCAACUAAGCUGACAGACAGAGAGACUUGGGCACUUCAAUUUCUAUUCUCUACGACGACAAAUCGUGGCGACAACAAGUGUUUUUUUUUCUCUCUCGCAGAAGCGCAGAGAGAGAGAGAGGGCGGUGUUCGUAAAUUUGGGGCGUGAUGACACUGCUCUGACACGGUGUGUGCGGACGCAACUGCAUUUGAAAACUCAAAAAUCGGUUUCCGUCUCGGAAACGUCAUUAGGGUAUUUGGGGAAGGUAGGGAGGGAGUGUCGACACCAGCGGGGUCGGUGGAGAAAGGUCGCCUGAACCCGCAGCGCCGGGUCCGAGCCUCCUCCUCUGGACGGUCUGGAACAGCCUCGGUUGAAACACGGACAGUAGGUCCGGAAGGACCUACUCACUUUGUGAUUCCAUGGCGGAAUGGCCCUCAUGUCCCCUACGGCCAGGUUUAGGGUUUGGGCAUGUGAUUACGAAGACAGUUUUGCAUGGAAUUUCACGCUUAUUCUUCAUUUCUGUUGUAGGUCGUGGUGACCAGAGGCUGGCCGUGAAGCGGACCAGUAUUGAUGAAGCUGAUUUUAGGAUUGUAAAAUUGAUGUCAUGUUUUUCAAAACAAUUAACAUUCACGUUUUUAGUUUUUAUUUUUUAUUUUAUUUUUUAUUUUAUUUUUUCUGUCUUAACGAUUUAAAUUGUUUCAAUAUUAAUCUUUUUCUUUCUUGAAGUCAAACUAUAUUAUUGGAGAAAACAUUAAUCUUAAUGUGUUUUUUAAAAACUACAAGUUGACUAUAUCUAUGUGUUUGUAACUUUUUUUCAUGUAUUGAAAUAAAUAAAACAAACAAAUUCUUCUAAUAAAACUUCUUUACAUAUCUUGGUUCUUAUAUACUAUUUUAAAUUAAAACUCAAACAUAAGUUUUUUUUUUUUUUUUUUUUUUUUUUUUUUGCAAAAACAAUAAUAAUGCAUUACAAUAUUGAUGUCUAUAUAUUUGUGUGUAUAUAUAGGGUAUUGCUAAUGCCACCACACUUUUUUCUAUUGCCACAACAAACCACAUUCUCCUACAUGUCACCUUUGUUUUAUAUCUUUCAAAAUAAUCAAAUUUCCUUUCUUUGAUACCUUUAAAACCAUUUGAUUGGAACAAUAAGAAAUUAAAGAAAGAUGACAAGUGGAUGGUAGAUUGUAGCAACAAUAACAAAAACUUUGGUAGCAUUAGUUAUACCUUAUAUAUAUAUAUAUAUAUAUAUAUAUAUACACAUACAUAUACAUGUUAGCAUUGGAAACCUUGGCUUUGCCACAAAAGUUAUUGAUAAAUUACGUUAUUAUAUUAAUAAUGUAACAUUGCAGCUGUUGUGUCUUGUGUGUUAUUUAAGUAUCUCUUUUACUCAAUAAAAAGACAACCUUUUUUCUUCAAAUACUUCAUAAAAACCACAAUCAAAAUACUUACAAAAUGAAUAUUAAUUAUAAUAAAGUUGUAUUUGGAUUAAUUUUUUAAAAAAUACCAUAUAAUAUAAAAUAGAAUUAUUUGUUAUAAAAUCAAAUCUUUAUUUUUUUAAUAAAAUAUUGAUAUUAUUUUUUCCAUAUUUUUAUAUCAAAAUUGAAUUUUAAAUAUAUUUUUACUUAAAAUGGUAAUAUAAUUAUAUUUUUAAAACAAUGUAUUUUAUAUAUAGUUUAAAGUAUGUAUUAAAAUAAAAAAUAAUUUGUUUAAAUAAAAUAAAUCUAAGAAUACAAAUAAUUUAAAUUAAAAUUAUUAUAAAAAAAUACAUAAAAUUUCUAUAUGUGUUUACAAAAAAAUAGAGUAUAAAAACAAAACCUAUAAAUGUAUGAACAAUGCUUAAAAAAAAAACAUUCAGAAACAAAUAUCCUUAAGAGCAAUAGCCCUAACUGUGUACUUAUUUUUUUUUAUAGAGUACUUUUGUUUUCAUUGUCUUUAAUCAUAAUCCUACAAUAGACCAAGAAUAAGACUUAUUUGUAGUCAUUAGUUUCUUUUUUACAAUGAUGGCAUGUAAGUUCUUCUUAUAUUGCUUUCAAAUUUUUUUAGCUCUUGACAACUUUGAGACAUUCAUGCACAUUCUAAAGCAAUUGCCUUAAAAAUUGAAGUGACUAACUUGUCAAUAUAGUAGUGCCAAAGGUAAAAUUAACCUCAAAUAUGGAUUAAGAAUUAUGACUUAGUCCAUUUUGUUUGAACAAAUUAUAUACAUAUAUAUACAUAUACACACAUAUAUAUAUAUGUAUAUAUAAUUCUAUAUAUAUAUACUUUCAUCCAUAUAUGUAAAUUAUUUUUUCAUGUUGUAAAAUUAAUAGAAGAGAGGUGAAUCCAACCCUACACAAAGAAUACAGAUUGAAAUAUAGAUGAACUGAAUCUUGUCCAGAGACUUAUGGCAAAAAAAUUGCUGAUAUUUUCUACUAGCUUGUAAUUUUAUCUUUUUGUCUUGUAUUUCUUAUAAAUAUUAAGAUGCUUAAUGAUGAGAUUUUUGUUAGUUGAUUUGUGUCCUUGCUAUAACAAGGACAUAGCAAAAUUGCACAUUGUAAACAGUUGGGACAAUUUUAGAAAUUUUGAUUGUUGUUUAAGUAAAGAUUAUAGAUUUAAAUAUCAAGAUUGAUUGAUUUUGAAAAUUUGAAAAUUCUUCAAUCUUUCUCUUCUACUCAUUCUUGAGUUGCAUUGUUGUAAUUUUGGUGUGAUUUCUAAUAAAUAUUCUAUUGGAAUUUGUGUACUUUAAAAAUUCAUAAAACAAUUUAUUCAUUUUAAUCUCAUAAAGUAAUGCAAAUAAUAAAUAUUUACAUAAAAAACUCACCAAAAUUAUUUCUAUUUAUGUAAUUUUUAUUUUUACUAAGAUUGCUACAUCUACUUAACAAGCAAGUGAUCAUAUUAUCACAACAAAAUACACAUAUUUAUAAGCACAAUAGUUUAUGGAAGUUAAUUUUUAUCCAUCAUUGUUUAUAUUUUAAUUCUGACCAGGACAAAAUCAACUUUAAUACAAAGGUCUUUUUGAUACUAUUUUUUAUUUAUGUAAAACGUAUAUUUAAAUAAAAUGUACAGUUGUUUAGCGAGGCAGUAUUUUCAAUAAAAUUGAAACAAUUAUAAUUAUUCAAUUUUUGAUGUUUGAAAUCCCACACGUAUAACAACAACUAUUGCAAAUCUUUUCAGGUGCCGCAUGCCAACAAUUACGUAAAUACUGUUGUAACGUUGUGACUGUUGCAUCGACUAACUUGUAAAUUUUUAACCACGAUCAAUGAACGUAAAUGUUUUGAAUGCACAUGAAAAGACUUGCUUCACUCUGCAUGCACAUGCAAUUAAGUGAACUACCCACCCACUUGGUUUAAAACAAAAGUAUAACAGUUGGAGUGCAUACAUUUUAUAUUCUGUUUCUACUAUUUUAUUCAAAAAGAAGAAGAAAAGUUCCUACAUAUUAAAUAGAGAACUUACAUAGGCAAAACGAAACUGAUUCAGUCACAGCAGUAUAUCAAAUUUUAACGAACGCAUUCUACCACUUAAGUGUUGCUGCUAAAUGCCUCAAAUCUUUUACUUGCUGUAUUGCCCUCAAUUUUUCUUGUUGUCGAAGGCGCACAGCCACUGACUGAGCAUCAAAGCCUGAUACAGGUUGCACUUCUGCUUCAGUUUCUAGCUCCGAAAUCAGCUCAUCCACUUCUCUUAUGAAGUCUAUUCGAAGCAAACCCUCAUCUUCCUCGGGGAUCUCUAUCGGCCCCAUUUGCUGGAUCAUAACAAUUUCACAAUUAUACAUCAUUUCAUAGCUUAGUAUGUAUGUAGAAAUUCAUGGAAAAGGUAAAUUUGACACAGCCGUAUAAAAUGCAAAGGUCCAAUGCAAAAAACGUGCAGUUUACAAUAAAGAUCAAAAGGACUAUGACGACGUGCAUGUCAAAGAGAAGAAACUACAUCACGAGCUCUCUGACGUUUUCACAGACAAAAUGCUGCUCGACAGGUUAAAAAACCCAUGAGGCAACAAGGAUAUAGAGAUUCUGAAAUAAAAAUCGCAAAGAGAUUCUCCAUGCGAGUCCCACAUGAGAAUGCCACUGUCAAUUUGCAUACAUUUUCAAAGGUAAUAAUUUCCAUUCUUUUAGAGAUUAAAAAUAUUUUAAUUCCUGAGAGGAAGCUUGUUUUGUUUGCUACUACUGUCCUCCACACUUAAGUACAAAGAUAAGGAAAAAGGGCUUACAUUCUCCAUGUCAAAAUCGGACGCACCAAGGAUGGUGAAUGCAUCCUCAGGAACGAAUACUUGAAGCAUGGUCGUCCGAGACCGUCGCAACCACUCUUCGUGACUGAAACCGUCGUGAAGGUUUAAGAGUUGAUUGAGCAGUAUCAUAGCCAUGCUCGCGUCCUUUUGAAGCAGUUCCAUCUAUGGACAAGAAAGAAAACAUUAAUACAUCAAGCUGUCUAGGUCAGCUUAAAAAUUAGGGGAAUAAGGACUAGAAGGAACACUGUUUUUCAACCAAGACUCAAUGCAGAAACCGGCGGAAGCAGAGUAGCGUGAAAAAUCCCACUUUUCUAAAAAAUACUGCAUCGAAGACGUAAAAUAUGUAACCCCAAGGAGAGCAUUUGGGCGACGCAGCGAUGAUUCUGGUUAGCUUAAACCGGCACAAGAGGGAAAGAAUCUUUCUCAAAGUUACACAAAACAAAAAGAUGGAGAACCUGAUUAACAAUGACAAAGGAGCGAAAAAAAGAGGAAAAUCAACAUGAGGAGUUUCAGCUUAUUAUUCCAGUGCAUUUGAACUAAAAUUACAAACCAUUAUCCAUUAGGAGUUGAUUGAAGAGCGAGAAAUAAUAUUCAACGUCGUGUGACAUCUGCAAGGACGACCAGGAUUUACGAUUUCGUUAGGGACCAUGACUGUACGGUGGUCUUACCUCUACUCGACGGUAUAGCAAAUCAAGAGCUUGCAUUGCGUCUCGUUCAUCCUUCAACCCCCCCCCAAGCAGACAAGUGAGCUCAUAUUUCAGAAAUAAAAGCAAGUAAUCAAAGAAAACUUCAUCAGUUUCUCUCAGUAUGGUGUACAUUUCAGUGCAUUCAAAGUCAGAGAUAAAAAUCAUGUUGGAAUGCUAAGGUAUUCAACUGUCAUCAAAAUUCCUCAUUCUAGAUUACUUUCAAAAUGAAUCCGAUGAAUUUCUAAAAAUCCAAUAAGUACAUUUUGGAUUUAUUUCGAGAAUGUACCCCAAAUCAAGUUAUGGAGCUGACGAGAAUAGCAAAGCUCCAGGAACACAGAUGACGGAAAGGAAAGACCUUCAAACUGUACAUAAUAUUAUAGGAGAAUAAACUUACAUCAUGGCGAGCUAACUCCAAACGAUUUCGAAUUACUAGAAGUACAAGGGGAGUGAGCUCCCCACUUUCACUUGCUUCCUCAAUCAUCUGCAAUGACGAACUUGUGAGAGUUCUUCAAAGAGUAGCUGAAAGAUGUACAUGGUAUUGAGAUGAACUUCUCGAAAACAGUUCCAGUAAAAAUAACAGGUACUGAGUAGAAGGAAAUAACCAGACACGUUGCACAGAAGACAAGGGAUUUGGCACCGACUUCUUCCUCAAAUUCCAGGACGUGAAUAAUUCUAAUACCAAGUUCAGAACCUUUGAAGUUCAAUACCUCUUCCACUCCUUCUCCUGAUUUUAUCAUCCUAGCAACAAACUUCCUCGCUUCCGCAACUUCCUGUAUGGGAUAAUCUUUGAGUUGAUUAGCAAUGCUGCGAUAGACACCCUCCGCCUUUCUUUCCUCCUCUCGUUCGACCUGCCGCCGCCUCUCCAACUGCCUAGAUUCCUCUCUCCGCGCCUCCUGCCAUUCCUGCGAACAAAAUCAAUUGCUGUUAUUUAUUCGAAAGGGUGGGAGUCGAUGAAUUUAGCGUACAGCACUAUGACAAUCGCUGGAAGAAAUUAACUAACCUCAUCAUCUUUAUGAACCUCACAAAUUUCAACAUCUAUGACGUCUUGCCGUGUAUCGGUCGGCAAGCAUAGCAAGCGCCAGCGUUGACGAUGGCAUGAGGAUGACUGAGGUCGAUAAGAGGUGGAACCUAACCACAUCAAUUGAUAUGAGGAAGAAAAGGAGGUGAGAGAUAACCCAAAAAAUGAGAGGUAAUGCAAACGCAAAUUGACAAAAGAAGGAUGCGUUCAUGACAAGUGGGAGGACGAAAAACUCACAAGAGACGGUAAGGGUGGGGUAAAUGGAGGUGGGGGUGCGCGAUGUAGAGUAAAGGGAAAGAGAGCAGAAGGAAGAGAGUGCGCAAUUGAAUAAGCAGGCCAUGAUAAUCCUCUCAAACCGAACUGCAAAUUCCUCAAAGUCUAUGUAAACCCCUCUAAACCCCUGAAGCAGAAGCUGUGAAUUCCACCAACAGAACUCUAUCCAAAGAUUCCAAACACUCUGACAACAGUUUCCUACAAUUCCUCACUGUUUUGCCGCUUGUCGGAGGCUAAUGGAUGGAUGAACUCUUCCCGUUGAGUUGGGUUUCGCGGUUGAGAACAGUGUGAAAGUUUUAUCAGUGAGGGUUGGGAGUUUUCGCGCUUGGGUGGUAGCGUUCAUGCGCGGGGACGUCUUCUAUGAUUAGGGUUUUCUCAUCCUUUGGUUUGUUGCCGAGAGUGCAGCAAGUCUCGUUUCGAUGCUGACCACAGGAGGAGGCGGCACUGCGGUGUUGGAGCCUGUGCAGCCUGUGCAGUCCGUGGAGCCUGUAGAGCCUCAGUCGCUGAAGAAGCUUUCUCUCAAGUCUCUAAAGCGGGCUUUGGAUAUCUUCGCUCCCGUCCAUGGCGACCGCAUUUCUGCAGUACCCGAGGGGUACAUGUUUCUUACUGAUUCGUUGGAGAUUUCACUGCUGCUUAUUCUAAGAAUUUCAUUGGUUUUGCACUGAUCCCUGGUUGCGAUACAGGGUAUUUUUUGCAGGCUGGUUGACGGUAGUCGGUGUAUUGGUUUAAGAAUCAGUUCAGGAAGAAAAUUAGGUCACUAUGAGGACGCUUGUGGUUCUUUCUUACACGUGGUUUGUCUUCGUUUUGAUCCAUUGGUGGCUUUAUCUGAAGCAGGAGCAAAAUUCGCGUCACCUGCAAGGUAAGGCCUGUCCUCCUCACUCUGUUUCGUACUCUUAAUCACUGUUCUCGUUACGUUGAUCUGAUGAUGUGGAGAAGUCGUCAGUUCACAAACCCUCGGAUCUGUAUUGAGAUCUCUUGUGCAAUGGUUUAGGAUUUAGUAGUUGCUAGUAUAUAUGGAGGGUUUCGGGUGCUAUUUUUUGAUGGGAGUCUACAGAAUCGUUCGAAUAACUUCAGCACAGAUAACAUACUGUCAUCAUCGUACUUCAAUGGUCGAAAUCAUGCAAUGUUCAUGCCACAUUUAAUGUUGGUGUUAUGGUUCUUCUAAUUGUGUUUUAAUGUCCGAGGAACAAUUCAUGCAGGUGAAUGACGAGUAUGUAGUUGUCAAGGACAUGCCGGUGCCUAGCACGAGGGAGGGUGGUGGUGCAAAGCUUGGAGAUAAUGGCCUUCAAAGCUUGCGAGUCCCUGCGCCAGAACAACCUGGUACAAAUGCAGGUAUUUUCUAUUUUCUGUCUUGUCUCUUUUGUUUUUGUUUUUUACUCGAUAUGUUAUAUCAUUUCGGUCUUCUCACGGACGAGACUAAAGAAUGGAGUGCCAUCGUUCUUCAAAGUUGCAUCAUCUGCUUAUCAGUGCGAAGAAGUAGACUUCGAUGAAUGAAAUAUGGUAGCCUUAUUUAUAUUAACGGCAUUAUUCCAACCAAUGUGGCGUGGUUUUCAAGUAUCGCGGCGUUGGAGUUGUGAAUCAAAUCGAGGAAGUGCACGUCUUAGUCAUAGAAAAAUGUGUGUCGACACAGCGUUUAGAAUAAGCAUGAACGAAACCCUAGAUGUAUCAUUCAAAGACUGAAGCCAGUAACCGGUUCUUGAAGUUCAUUCUGUAGCAUGUUUUGAGGCUCUUUUCUUUCUUUUUUCUUUUUCUUGCAUCUAGGAUAUGCUAAUUAUGCUGUUACUGUUCUCAGGAUCAGCAUCGGGAAAAGUGGGCGGCAAGCAACUUGCGUUGGUGCCUGCUCGAGUCCAACCUCCAGCUGCAGCUCCAAUUGUUGGAGCCGCUCCUGCAGUCCCUGCAGUGGAUCGCACUUCUACUGCAAUUACAGCGGCUGAUCGGUAUGUGAUUUCCACAAUACUCAGUUUUCUAUAAUACUUGUGUUUGCAUUACGGACAAGAGUGUGAAAGGGUCUUCGUUGCGUGGUACUCAGACAUUUGAUCGAAAGCAGUGAAAUUUUGAAAGGAAUACUGUGAUAACUUACAUAUUUGGUUCAAGCAGGUAUCAACCAAGUGCUGCAGUAAUGAAGAGGCUCCCAAGUAAAUGGCCAAAGCCUGUCUGGCAUCCACCUUGGGUAAACUACAGGGUAAGUAUUUCAGUCAUGAGCUUGUAUAUUCCUUAACAGUGAGGAGAUUUCAAUAUUCUGGAUGUUACUUUGUGGUGAUCAAUGGGCUUUUAUUGCUGAGUUUUUGUGACUAAAUCUUGUGGAGCAUUGCAGGUCAUCAGUGGGCAUUUAGGGUGGGUGCGAUCAAUAGCAUUUGAUCCUGGAAACGAGUGGUUUUGUACUGGCUCAGCUGAUAGAACCAUCAAGGUGUGAUGAAUUAGUUGACCUGCCAGUAAAUUGUUUUCUUGCAUGCCCUAAGAUGCUUCAAAGUUUUGGUCAUUUCAUGCGAUGUUCUGAGGUAGUUGGAUAUAGUAUGGUUUCCUUUACUGCGUUUCGCUUUGAUUCGUCCAUAGGCAAGAGCCAACUCUUUGCUUUGUUGUCGUCGUCGUCGUUGUUAAAAUUAAAAGAUGAUUUUUUACCAAAGCUUGGUUGCUGAGAGUAUAGGACGUUGUUUUGAUUCCCUAUAGAUUUGGGACAGUGGAACUGGACAGCUCAAGCUGACUUUAACUGGUCACAUUGAGCAAGUUCGAGGUACGUCAAGUCAUUAGGUCAAUUGCGCUCGCUUUUGAAUCGACGAUGAAAUCCCAUUUAAUGGUACAUGCUUAUUUCUUCACUCUUUUCUGAUCCAGAUGCAGAGGUUAAAGGUACAUGAGUGGAUGUUGAACAGGUCUCGCAGUGAGUGCUCGACAUCCUUACAUGUUUUCAGCUGGUGAUGAUAAGCAAGUCAAAUGCUGGGAUCUUGAGUACAACAAGGUGUGUUCUGGCUCCUUUUAAGCAUAUUAAUGCGUAGCCUUUACUUGGCUCUGAGUCAGAGGUCAUUUCAAAUGUCAUUUUCUGAGACUCUACUCUGGGAUAUGGGUUUGCUCAGGUUAUACGUUCAUAUCAUGGACACUUGAGUGGAGUUUACUGUUUAGCGCUUCAUCCUACACUUGAUAUUCUUAUGACUGGUGGUCGAGACUCAGUGUGUCGGGUAAGAACCUCAUUCUUCCGUCUUUUAACGAUGCAUUAUUUUAUAUCCUUAUGCUGUGAUUUUUAUAGAUUAGAGUUUUGAAGUUCUCAGCAGCCAAUAUUUAAUUGCACAGGUAUGGGAUAUGAGAACCAAGGCUCAGGUGUUUGCGCUAUCAGGACAUGAGAAUACGGUCUGUUCUGUGAUUACACAGGCCACUGUAAGUCCCCUAAUUAGCCUCUUUUAUUCUUUCAUGGACAAAUUCCUUAGACUCGUCACACCCACUGUCUCCAUGAUUUGGUUUGUGAAAUAAUUUUCAGUCCUUUAGAAUGAGUACGUCGAAGUUCUCUCUGUCUCGUUGAGUCAAAUUGAUAGUGUGUGUAGGUCCGUGCCUCGACAGUGCACUGUCGCACUUUAUGUCAGUUCGUGGUUGUGAGCAAUUUUUUGCCUAUGAAUUUGAUGUGAAUAGGGGCAUUUUUGUACACGUGAAGAAAGAGUUCUCAUUGUAUGAUCAGAUGUUACACCUCUAAAUGCUUGUACUUCUGCACAGACCUCUAACUUGUUGCACUCGUUUAUUGACCUUAAAAUCUCAGGACCCACAAGUUGUAACAGGAUCACAUGAUACCACAAUCAAGCUGUGGGAUCUUGCUGCGGGUAUGUAAUCAAUCCCUUCCUGAUGUAUCUAAGCCCGUUUGAAGUUAGUAGAAUUAGUUUUCAUCUGCUAUGCUACCAGUGUUGGAGCUUAAGUUUUCCACUUAGCAAAGAUUAAAAGUUACUGAAAUGAGUCUUUGUUAAGCACCUUAUUUUUUUCAUGUUAUCGUGCAAUUUACACAGGUAAAACUAUGUCGACUUUAACAUUUCACAAGAAGUCUGUGAGAGCAUUGGCGAUGCAUCCUUUUGAGUAAGUUUCACUUCUUUAUUUACGGUGAUGAUUAGUCCUUCUUUUUUACCGUGUUAUGUUUCUGAAGUGAUCGGUGUCCGAUUUUACGUCUAAUUAGACCAAAUGUUGUACCCAUUUGUUGUUUAACAAUGGUCAACUUUUCUUGUUAUAUGUUCAGUACGAUUGGUUUACUAAGUUCUUUUUGCGAGUGUUUGAGUGAGUGGAUAUUAUUGCAUGAGAGUUGAUGGGCUUUAAGUGGGGCGUAAAGUUAUUUUGCCUUACUAUGUUAUUCAUUUUUGCUUGAACAGACACACCUUCACCUCAGCUUCAGCAGACAACAUAAAGAAGUUUCGGCUGCCCAAGGGAGAGUUUUUACAUAACAUGCUGUAAGUGUUCUUUGCGAAACUUAAUCAGGUGCUAUGUUCAUAUUGUCUGCAUUCAUCUUUUGGAGUAUCAUCCUUGAUGUGCCUUAUCCAUUCAAUAGUUUUCUAAGUCAGCUACAACUCCUGUUCGUGACGGUUGUCGCAGUAAGUUUUUCGGUUCAAACUGUUGACGUGGUCAGUCUGUUUAUAUGGUACUUAUCUACACAUUUAUAAAUAUGUUGAACUUUUUUUGAGGCUUAUGGAGUGCUCUGGUUUUGCAUCCUUCAAACACAGAUCUCAGCAGCGCACAAUCGUUAAUUGCAUGUCUAUCAACGAGGACAAUGUUAUGGUGUCAGCAGGUUUGCACGACAGUUCUAUUUUUAGAUUUCUUUUUCUCAAUCCAAAAUUACAUUCCCAACAUAAUCGCCAUCUAUUUCGGAUUAUACUUCAAAUAGAGGUUUCCUAAUGUUGAAAACUGACGUGCAGGUGAUAAUGGAAGUAUGUGGUUUUGGGACUACAAGAGUGGGCACAAUUUUCAGCAAGCGCAGACAAUUGUGCAGCCUGGUAUGCUACCAUUUUCCUUUGAUAUAUAUAUAUAUAUAUACAUAUACAUAUACAUGCUUUCCGUGCGAGGAGACUUUUGGAAUUGCCCCACAUCUGAAUAUUAUGGCUUUUGGAAUUAUUUCUUUUGCUGUAUAAGGAGACGACGGAUGACAUAAUGUGAUGAUACACUGUCGUACACGACCUUGAUUUAUCAUGCAUGUGCUACUAUUUUCUUUUUAUCGUGGUAACAGCACAUUGACUAAUGAACUUUAUGCACUGCAAUGGUUUUGUAGGGUCUUUGGAUAGCGAGGCUGGAAUCUAUGCUCUUUCAUUUGAUCAGACAGGCUCUCGGUUGAUCACCUGUGAAGCGGAUAAGACCAUCAAAUUUUGGAAGGAAGAUGAGUCAGCCACCCCAGAAACACACCCUAUCCACUUUAGACCGCCGAAGGAAAUGCGUCGGUUCUGAUAGUGCUUCACGAAACUUCCUUGUGAGAAUCAGGGGGUAUUCGUGCGUGGUUAUCUAUUGUUUAAUUGGUCACUGAUCAAUUUUGUGAGGAGGUUGGGACAUUUUCCUCUCAUUUUGUUUUAUCCAAAUGCUUGUGGCAUUGUGUACAUUAGAAAUAUUUUCACACAAGCUUGGUUUACACUCCACUGCCGAUGUAGUUGAAAUCAUUUCACCAUGAGCAAGCAAUUCAUGUCAUGCACAUCUGUUCAUUCAAUCAACAACCAUGUAAGAUUAGUUCCUCCUGCAACUUCUUGAAACUCAGUUAACAUUCAACAGUAAACCAGAUGUAGAUUGGCUUGAGUGAAAUAUCCUUUAAGUUUAUUUUCCAUCAUUGCUAACCCUGAUGCAAUGAACUCGUGCUGGUCUAGAGUUGUGUCUUCUCUUACCAGAAGUCAAUGUCCAUCCACACAACACAGGCUCUCCAGAUCUCUUCUUCACCUGAAAAAUGAGGCUGCCCCCUUACCUCAACCAGCCCUUCACCCAACCUCUAUCCAUGAAAACUCUCAGGUGGCGCAAUCUCUUAAAUUCGUUUUUUUAUACAAGCUCUAGUUAUAGCCCAUAACUAUCAGCUGAAAGCCAAUGAUUGAUUCAAUUAGCUUGGCUAUACCAUACAAUAUGUGAUACUUGAAGUAUGUAAGUCAAAGAAUUUUGAUACUACAUACUUCAAAUAUUUUUUUCAAUAUAAGUCAUACAAAUAAAUGUAAAAUUUUUAUGUGCACUGCUCUUUAUUGUGUGGAGCUACUGCUUUUGUCUACUAAAACAAUACUUUGCAAGUUAUCUACACAAUCCAAGCAACAAAAACAAACUUUGGACAAAAAUGUAAGUCUGAAAAUCAAACGAGGAUAGAAAUUUAAUUAUAAUGGUAAAAACAAAGUCACAAGAGUAAUUUGGCCACAAGAGUAAUAAAUGACUGAAGUAAACAAGGUUGUGAAAAGUGAAAGGAACUAAAUUUAUACAAAAAUCAAUUCAUACACUAUGAUUAGUAUUCCUCUCUCAAUUUGUACAAACAAAUGCAGAAUAUGCAAUGGACCAACAUGCAAGGAUAAGAAUCAACAUGAGAAUUGCACAUUGGGUUUGGAGGGUGAACCCAACACUACAUCAUAUCCUCCUUCACCAGCAGGAUCCCACAUGUCAUUCAUGCGUCACCAGGACCCUCAUCUUGCCAAUUUUAUCAGAACAAGAGUGAAGUGGAAGGAGACAAAUAAAUAAACAAAUAAUAGAAAUAUAAAAGUUAAUACACACAUGUGAGUGUGUAAUUGAAUAUGUGGUUACAUAUAUAUAUAUAUAUAUCUACACACACACACAAUUAAAUAAGAUAUAUAUAUACAAGUGAGGAAGGUCACCCUUUCCAUCUGUUAUAGAAAUGGAAAGAAAUAAUUAGUACUAAUAGAAUUUCAAUAUCCUGUUCACGUUGAUGGAGAGGUUUAAGAUGAUAUAGUGAUUAUGUUUAUGAUUAUUAUUCAUACCCUGAUUGGAAAUUGCAAACGCCAAUUAAUGGGCUCCGGUGAAGUAUUAAUCAUCAAAAGCGCAGUCGAUUACACACAGAUAGACUCUCACACACACAGUAAAUCUUCAUUUAGACUGGUGGUUGACGGUAUCGGUGAUGGCUUCCUGGCUCACUCCGUAUGACGCCUUCCAGCAAUCGACUUGAAGCGGGUGGGUUUCGGGGGCCCAAGUCUAUCUCUCACUAGAGUCGCGGCCAACACCCAUGCUAGUCCAGUCCACAACACUAAAAAGCACCGUUCUUAUGGCAGCAUUCAAAUGCAUCCCCCCCCCCCUCGAUUCGAUUUUCUCAUCAUUGACUGUGGUUGGCUGCACCUCUGAAGCCGCGCCUCGCCUCGCCUCGCGUCUGAUGAUUGAUUGAGGUUUGCUGUGCUUGUCAGACCUUGUUAGAGAUAGUAAUUAAGGGUGAUUAUUCGUUGUUUGUGAGCUUUUCGCGUGUGCGAUCCAGGGGUUAGGAUUCAGGAAGCUGGAGACGACGCGGGGCGGUGGGCGCUGUAGCUCUGAGAGGCUCCAGGUUUGACUUCUUGUGGGAUUAUGAAUUAAUAACAUAAUUUUUGGAUAUGGGGUGGUGCUGAUGGUGGUGGGAGUUCUUUUUUUUUUUUUUUUUUUCUUUUUUUUCCUUCUUCUCUCUCUCUCUCUGGUUACCCUAAUUGGAGAGUGGAAGGAUUUUGAGACAAUGACAUGUUUUUUGGGUUUGGAGAGAUGGGGAUGGUGAGAUGAGUUUCGUGGAUCUCGAUGUGUGGAGUUAGGGCGAGGGUUGGCACUCGGUAUCGACCAAGAGAGAGAUUCACGGACAGGGAGAGGGCGAGAUGAGAUCGUGUAAUGAUAGAGUAGCAAUUCGAAUUGUUGCUAAUUAGCUUUAACCCGCGAGUGAGUGUGGAAGCGGUGUUGAUUCAGGGCUGGGUAAUUUUUGUUAGUUUUUGCUACGAGGAUGUUGACGAUGAGAGUCUAGGUAGAUGGUUCUAGUCCACGCGGUUCGCGUGAGUGUAUGGUUGAUUUCAUAGGUUUGGAAUAUAGCCCCUUGUGCAUGCUAUAGGGUUUCAUUUAUUUUUUUGAUAUUACAGGGGCGCUUGAUUGUAGCCUUGCAGAAGGGAAUUGAAAGGAGCUUUGAUAUUAGUGGAAUUAAAGGUGAGUGAGGAUAGGGUGUUGGCAAUUCGAUUGCGCAUAGGGAUUGUUGAGCACUACAAGAGGGGCGUGUUUGAGGAUCGAUGGUCCUCUCUUAGGCUUUCGAAAGUGCUGUAUAGUAUUUUUUUGAUUGAAUUUUUCCUUCUUGUCGAUUGCCCGAAUUUCGACGAUUAUUUUUUACGACGAUGAGGGUUCCUGUCCAUCUUGUUCUUAGUAGAGGCUAUUACAUGGAGAGCAAUUCGAUAUUCGAUGUUAAGGUAUUCUGGUCUUGUGUGAGAGAAUUCAUUGCCUUUCGUUGCUGUGUGUAGGGUAAAGUAAUAAUGCUUUUUAGUAGCCGUUUUAUUGGAUGACCUCUUCGCCCAAGGGAUGGCGUCAACGGCAAUGGCAGGGGCUGCAGGGGCAGUUGUAGUCCUUUAUUACACAGGUUGGGGUAAUCCCUGGGGUGGACAACAUCGCGAUUCAAACGAUGGGGGAGAGUCGGUGUCAUUGUUGAGUGGAAGCCAGAGACGGUUGAGUGUGACAUCAAGACCGCCCUCAACUUGGUUUGAAGCUCUCGCUACUAUCGCAGAGACCCUGCGAUUUACGUACUCUGAAACUCUUGGGAAGUGGCCCAUCGGUGAUCUGGCUUUUGGAAUCAACUAUCUUCUACGUCAACAGGUGCGUGGUUGUCCUGUUCGAACAUGACUUGUGUCAUCGCAUUCUGACUGCAGAGCUCAAUUAGGACACUUGUUGGUGUUGAAAUUGCCACUUCUUAAUAACUUCUCACAGUUUUUAUCUGCUUGUUGGUUGGGGGAUCAAUAGGACAAAGAUUUCAGACACUUGGAACUGGUGGCGAGAUUGUAAGGCUUGCUCUUAAGAACUUAGGGCUGGUGUUAUGUGUACAGGGCCAGUUAAAUGUUGCCAGUGUGUUCGCUGCGGAUGAGAAUCAGCAGCUGCGUGGCCCUGCUGUGGUGGGAGAGAUGAAGGAGUUGCUGAGACUCCUGACUGUAUGCAUGCACUUUUCAAAGAAGACUUUUCCUCAUUUUCUUGAGGUUACGGGUUUUACGAGGGAUCAAGUUUUGCUUGAAGAAGGGAGGGCUGGGGUAAGAUAUGCAGGGCAUUUGAUGGUUGUUUUGUAGCAUCACUUCCGAGCAAGUAUGUUCCUGGUGAUCGCCUGAUAAUUUCUUAUCGUAUUCACUGUAUUGAGUGAAAUUUCUGAAUGUGCAGUUACUGAAACCAGCAUUCACGGUGUUAGUGGACCAUCAGUCCGAAUCCAUACUGCUUCUGAUUCGAGGAACGCACAGUAUGAAAGACACUCUGACAGCGGUCACAGGUUCUGUGGUGCCUUUCCAUCACACUGUAAUGGAUGAUGCCGGUAUCAGUAAUUUGGUAUUGGGUUAUGCUCACUGUGGAAUGGUAGCAGCUGCACGAUGGAUUGCUCAACUCUCCACAAAUAUUCUUAUGAAAGCUCGCGACGAUUACCCUACUUAUCAGAUUAAGGUUCCUUAACUAUUUCCUAAUCUCAUUUAUGUUGUGAAUCUACGAAAAUCUGUUUUGGUGUAGUAAAUGAGAUCAGUAUGAAUUGUGGUAUUAUUGUGAACUUAAGGACUAUGAGGAUUUCUCCAAUUUUUCUUCUUAAGUGACAUUUUUACACGUUCUUUGGCUUUGUAGGUUGUGGGACAUUCUCUGGGCGGUGGAACUGCUGCGUUGCUUACAUACAUUCUUAGGGAGCGUCAACCUCUUGGCUCAACUAAGUGUGUCUCUUUUGCACCCGGUAUGGUGUUAUUGGUAUGGUGUUAUUGUAUGCAGUCACCGUCGUUUAUAUUUUAUGUUUAUUUGGAUUACAAGCUCUACAACUUCUACGAGGUCGCUGAAAAUGUUGUACAAGUAUUUGAGCAUUCAAGUUACAUCCUGGCGGGAAAUUGUUGCUAACUAGGAUGUCUUUGUGAUUACAGCAGCAUGCAUGACCUGGGAAUUGGCCGAGUCAGGUGCCUCUUUUGUGACCACAGUUAUCAAUGGUUCAGAUCUGGUCCCGACCUUCUGCUCUGCCUCUCUUGAUGAUCUUCGCGCCGAGGUUUGCACGUCUUUCUUACUUUAAUGAUCCAGACUGAAAGCUAUAACACGGCUCAAACAAGUAUCUAAUUACGCUACAGAAACUAACCAUGUAUAUCUAUGAAUGCAGGUGACAGCUUCUGCUUGGGCGAAUGACUUUCGCGAACAGAUAGAAAGAACACGGAUAUUAAGAACUGUCUAUCGAUCCGUCACUGCGUUGAGCAGCCGGAUACAGUCUUUGGCCAAACUUUCGCGAGCUACGUUACCAUACUCGACCCUCAUGUUUAGUCGAGCUGCCCGAACCGGAGCAGCUGGUGCCAGCAUGAUUUGGCGACCUGUCUCCAGUGGUACUCAGGUAAUUCUGCCCUGCCCGGUUUCUGUGUUGGUGGUUUUAUUGUUUUCUUCUGCCAAUUUUUUAGAACAUGACAUUUAUAUGGAAUUUGUGUUAAAGUGCUGCAUUGAUGUAUGCACCAACUGUAUCCUGGUUGGAGUUUCGAUUUUAGACUAAGACAUUCGAGGUUCGUGUUGGGUGUGAACAUAGGUUGUAAUGAAGCAGGCUCAGAAUGUAGCCCAAGCUGUGGUCCGUAGACCCGACUUUUCAAGUUGGUCCUGCAUGGGUCCUCGCCGUCGAAAUGUUGUAUCCACUGGCAAUGCAGGGUUGGAGGAAAAUACUGCUUCAGUCGUCGUCAGUGACAAAGAGAAAGUGGAUUACUGUAGAGAUAUUGCAAACGUAUGUAGUACCAGUGCUGCGGGCAUCAGCACUGCUGAUGAUGGCCAAGGUCAACAAUCAGCAGGUACAUAUUGGGCUAUGCUUUUGAUUUUGAGUUUUGAAUUUUCGUUAGAAAUGAAAUAAAAUAUAUGUUUCUUGUCAUGCUCACUUUGCAUCUUCCUGGUUUCGGUUGUUAUUGCUUAUUAAUGCUUGAUCAUUUUUCUCAAGAUAUUAUAAAUACGUCCUUGAUGCAAAUACAAUGAGUACUAUUGCUGCUACAAUAGGAAAAAUGUGCCGACACUAAAAUAUGUUUCCUUACUAUGCUCAUUUGACCUCGCAGGUGAAUAUUCGGAGUCUUACAGGCAAAUGUUGCGUGAUGGAAACGACACUCGGAAAGAGUUUUUCUCAGGCCUCAUACAAGAGGGUGAUCUGGAGCAAGAUCUUGAGCAUGAUCACAUGGCUUCUGCUAGUGGUUUAGAAGACCUUGGUGAGGACCUUCUGUGGCAACAGUUGGCCCAGGAGCUACAUCGCCAGCAGGAGAGACAAGCUUCUUCUUCCCCAAGUGAAGAAGAGGCCGCAGCAGCUCGUGAGAUCACAGAAGAGGAGGAGCAUGUUGUGUCGACCACUGCCUCUGCGUUGGGCCAGGUAAACAUAUUUAUCCGUUUUUGAUUAGCAUAACCUAUUGAUAUGAUGUAGAAGUUUUGUUUUUGAGAGAUCAAGUCUAAGCUCUUACGAAUAUUUUUUAUUUUUAUUUUAUUGUAGUACUUUUAUAAAAAAGAAGUAUUUAUCAAUAACCGCUAAAUCUCUUACCUAUGAAGUGGCACUCUUUUAGAAAUUCUAUCUAGCCUAUAUUUUCCUCGGAGGCCUGCUUUAGCUUCUGCCACUCUUUUUGCAGGAUCGUAUUGUGUCAGAGAAGGAGCCGGAGCAAGACCUACGGCGAUUUUACCCUCCAGGAAAACUCAUGCACCUGGUUAGUCCCCUUCCAAGCAAGGGAGAGGAACCUGGAAGUGAAGACCAAGAGCAACAACCAAGGGUUGGACUAUUUCUUACUGAUCGAGCUUUAUAUGGCAAAGUCCGGUUGUCAAGGACUAUGGUGCAUGACCAUUACAUGCCAAAUUACGGAGUCAUGAUGACAAGUUUGAUUGAACAGUUAGAAAGGGAAAUUAACCCUUGAACGCUCAGGUUGACUGCUUGGAUCACUUUUGUACUGGCUUCCCUCGGUCGUUCAAGGGUUAAUUACUCGAGUUGAUAAAAUGGUCACAAUUGCUUAAGUUUUGUAACAUAGUGCUUGAUUCACAAAGGUGUUUUUGCACAUGCUCCUAACCAACCAUGCUGCAAUCCUAUAUAUAUAUAUAUAUAUUCCCAAUUCAAAGUAGAGAGCAAUCUUGAGGUACUUUGAAGGUACUCCUUGACAGUGUUAGAAUAACCCCUUUUGACCUUACAAUCUUUAAAACGUAUCUAUAUGUGUCUAGUUUCCAAGGAACCCUGUAGCUGGUAUUGACUCAUUACUUUAUUCUGUACUCUUACCCGAAGGGCUUGGGUUACUUAAAUGUGCAGAUCCUUUCUGAUUAUUAGCAAGUGGUUGCUCCAUGAGAACUAAAUCACGAUGUGCAUUAUGUCGCCAGUUUAGUGAGUGGGUAUUGUUAUUCCUUGGGUUUUUUAUCAAAUUCGAGAGCCGAUGGAUUCUGAGUAAUUCAAUCUCGUGUCAUUGUUGGAUCUGACAUCGGUAGUAUCGUCAUUUCCAGGGUGGGUUUCGAUUAUAUUCCUCCUCUGGAAAUUUUAGUGAGUCUCCACAUCAUCUGUUGUUCAUAGAGCUUCCAUUUGCUAGAAUAUCAUCAAUAAAAUGUCCAUUACAAUGGCUUAUUUAUUUAUCUUAUUACUUUGGUCUAAUGGCAAGGUUUUUUAAUAUACAAUGUUUUAGAUCCUACUCUCAAAUUCAAACACUUAUUAUUUUUGUCAAGGAUGCCAUCUGUUUUAACCACUGUGUCAAAAUCUCCCUUUAAUGUAAUUGUCAUAAUUUAAAAACUCAAAAUAUAUGUCACAACUCCAGAGGUUACCUUUUUUUUAGAAUCCUUGUUUUAUUUACUGAUGUCCAUAUAUAUGUGUAUAUAUAUAUAUAUAUAUAUAUAUAUAUAUCUUUUCUCUUAUUUUUGAAGAAAAUUUAAGUCAUAUCAUGACUUUGAUAGUUGUUACAGGUAUGGAAAUACAGGAGAAUGUACGUAUAUACCGAGUACCUUCGACAGGUGUCAUGAUCUCAUGAACCCUGGAGACGAUUUCUCACCAUCCCUUAAGAUGUUUAUGGUCGACGUCCAUUUUCAAACAGCAGCUAAUAUCCCGCCUUGUUCUCGCUCUCGCGCCAUUGCCUUCAAGUGACAGUGCACUUGGUUCCCCUGUUUCUGGCAUCCAAGUACUUACUUGUUUUUAUAGUGCACAUAUUAAUUGUUCGCUUUCCGAGGCGUUGUGGCGUCCUCGAUAAUUCACGGGAUCUAAAGAAAGUUUGCCCUUCUAGAGCAGGUGAUUUAUGUUUUGCGUAUUUUGGAUCGUCAACAGUUAUUGGUGCAUUGAAACUUGGGGAUGUAUUUCUACUUUUUCAUUCAAGUUUCUUCUACUGCACAAGUGAAGUGUUUUUGUUCCGCCUGAUAUCGAGGUAUGAGUUCUGUAUGAUAUCAAGUAUGAGUUCUGUACGUGCGGGCAGCUUUUGUCAUUUUCAAUAGACACUAAUUUUGUUAAUUUAUUCAGCUUGCGGCCAGCUUUAGUCAAGUUUUUGCAAUCGAGAGUAAGCUGUGAGGCAGGGAAAUCAAUGGAACGUGCUAAAGCAAGUCGCUACCUCGUGACUCUUUUCCUCUCGCUCAUCCAAGUUGCAACGGCACAAACAACCAAUUCGCCACUUGCUUCCGCUCUCUAUGUCUUUGGAGACAACUCGGUUGAUGUUGGCAACAACAACUACCUCAAUACUCUUUUCAAGAGUAACCACAAGCCUUAUGGCAGAGACUGGCAUGGAUACAGCCGACCUACAGGCCGUUUUUCAAAUGGAAAACUGUUUGUGGAUUACCUUGGUAAACAAGUCAAGCUCCUCCUCUCGAUCAUAACAACAUGAUUCUUCUUUUCAGCAUAUUCAUAGAUGUGAUCCAUGUCAGUUUGAAUACCUCGAAAAGAAAUUGUGCGUCUUCUCACCUGAGCUGGAGUCUGAGGUGUUCUGCCCGUAAGAGGCAAUGUUGUUGGUGGCUAGCGGCUCACAUUUUGGAAAUUUGGAAAUCCUUUUUCACUUGGAAAACAAUUCACUGUGUUAGUACAAUUACACGUACAAAUGCAUUUCCACAACGGUAAUGAACCAUGAUUCACUCUCUAAUUUAGUCAUCGCCCGGUGAGCCCUGCCAGCUACGAUUAUCUUCUGCUUCUCUUUGCCGACUUUUUUUUGUACUUUUUAAGACCGUGGUAGAGUUAUUGCAGUCAUCAAGCUUACAUUGCAGUAUACACGAGAGAAACUUGCAUUCAUCGAACUGAUCAAUCUCUGGAGUUAUGUCGAAUUUGUUGCCGUACUCCUGCAAGGCAAUAAUCUAUGCAGAAUUUUUCGGGAAUUGUUGUGUAGCGGAGUAUCUAGGUCUGCCGUAUCCACCACCAAACUUAAGUCCUGGGGAGCCAAAGAUUAAGGGAGUCAACUUUGCAUCUGCAGGCUCGGGGGUUCUAAACUCGACUGCGUCCAUUCUGGUAUAAUCCUUAUCAGAAUUGACUGAUUACUACAAAAUUUGCAGAGCAUUGCAACGUUAGACACAUUGGCUUUGAGACUUGGUUGUUUUACAACGUUUUGAUAGUUUCUUUUCGACUUCACAGAAGUGGUAAAUUUGAAAAAUAACAUCCAAUACGUUGUAAUGUAUUCCGGUCAUCAUGUAUGAAAGUAAGUGACCAAGACUUUAGGACCAAAUGAAUACUUUGGUUCUUCUCAACAAGAGAUUCAACCCCGAUGUUCUCGUGACGACUAUGUGAUAAAAUCCUAGUAAGCUUCACUCCGUCCUGUACCUUGCAGCGUGUUGCUUCUCUUUCUGGACAGCUCGACUGGUUCCGGAAGCAUCUGAAAACUUUACGAGCCUGGACGGGCGAAGUUUGGGCGAAUCAUAUCAUCGGAGAUGCUGUGUAUGUAAUAAGCACAGGCAGUAAUGACUACAGUAACAACUAUCUGCUGGAUCCAUCGCAGCACGACAACGUCGAUGAGGACACAUUUGUCGAACUUAUCUACAACGAGAUGGUGUCCUUCGUACACGUACAUAUUCCUAGACCUUUCAAUUUUAUUUGAAGAUUGAAGUAGAACGUCGAGGAUGGUGAUAUUAAGUCUCUGAACGGUUGAAGAAUCGUAAGCAGGAGAAAUGACUUAGAGAGAUUAGAUCUGUUGAUCGACCGGUUUGUUGCACAGGAAUUGCUGGCAGUUGGAGCUCGUAAGAUCAUGGUGGUGUCAUUCACACCGUCGCACUGUGAUCCCUCCCAAUUGUUAACACAGCUGCCUGAUCCGAGCACUGAUUUGUUUUGCCAAGACCCGUACAACAUGCUUCCCCGCAGGUUUAGCGAAGCGUUGAGAUACCGCAUACAGUCAUCUCUCACUAACGGCAUGUUGCCCAGGAGGUCAUCUCUUAGUGGAGCGCCCACUUACGUUGUCUAUGGCAACAUUUAUGACACCAUUUUUGCAUUUGUGACCAACAGUUCAAGUAAUGGUAAGUAAUCACUUACUUCAUCACUUUCUUGGAUGCCAUAAUGUUCGAAAUUUCUCCUUUCAAUUGCACACUAGCUGUUUAAUGGAAUCAUGAUUCCUUGGAGCUUGAAUAUUACUUCAAUAUUAUACACUCGUUCUUCAAUUAAUGGUACCGGCAAUGUAAAUUUCAACACCACGUGCAUGCUGAACCACAAAUUUGGGCGUUUUGCAGCAUAUUUCAAGAGGCAAGAUUCUCCAUGUUGUGGUCCAACGUCGGAAGAGGAUGAUGACUUUCCAGGAUUUUUAAAUUGUAAUGAGUUUACAGCAACUGCCUGCUCCAAUGCAGAUGACUACGUCUACUGGGACAGCUUGCAUUACACUCAAAGAGUGCAGGAGUAUCUCGCCAAUCGACUCUGGAACGGUACUUUCGGUGUAGAUUGUCAUCCGUUUUGCCUCCAGGAGCUUGCAGCAUUACCUUAGUUGUCACAUUUGUUGCGGAAAUCCGAGCAACACAAUCAAUAGGAAAAUUUCACUAGUGGUAAUACCUUGAAAUAAUUCAUAUAGCUGUUCAUUUUGGGCAGGAAUUGUGUUAUGAUUGUCUGUUUAGUUUGCUCCUCGGAUACUGCCGACAGGUUUCAGGGAUACUUCUGAGACAAAACGUUCACAAAGAAAUGGUCGUCUUUCUUUGUCCUUUCAGUACACCUAAACACGUCAUGCCACAACAGCCAGGCAUUCAGAACAUAGGUUUCGGAGCGGUAUCUACUCAUUUCUGUGUUUGUUGCUUUGUUCAGUGACGACAUCAUUCGCAACCACCACACCAAAACUGUUCCCAGUCGGAUGUUUGAAUUCCUUGAUCUGCUGUGAAUGGGUGCCUGUAGAGCAUUCCACAGGGAAAUUUUGUGUAGCUAGCUGUCUGCAGGCAUACAAGAAUUAGCAGUAUAGUGACCCCGCGGUUUUCAACGUAGUCAUUAUUCAUUAAGCUUAUUCUAUAUUUUAAGAAAAAGCCACGACGUUGAAAUCAAAUCACUCACAUAAAUGGUGCACACACUCACCAAAAAAGGAAAAAAGAUCGGCAUUUAGAAGAAAAUACAAAUCUUACUUUAAAAAAAUAAACAGUGGUUUAUAGAAGUACUAAUUUAUUUCAUGGUUAUUUAAGUAACUUUUCAAAGGCUUCUUGUUCAUGCUUAAGUGCGUUUUCAUAAUGCAGAACUAUUUGGAAGUUCAUUUCUACAAAUAAAAUUAUCUAUCCAAGAAUUUCUAAUUUUUUUUUACAUCAGAUAACAUGAAAUUAAAAAAAUAUAGUGUAAAUUAAAUAAAUUUUAGAUGAUACUUAUCUUUUGAUACUAUCAUGGUUAAUAAUACAUGUUCAUAACAUUAGUGCUCUAAUUAUCAAUUUUAAAAUAAUAUUAAGUUUGUUUUGAUUUGCAUUCUUCAGAAGAUUGUUUGCAUUUAUGCAUUUUUUUGUGUAUAUGAUUGGAGUUUGGUUGCUAUAUCUUUGUAAUGUUUAUUUGUUUAUAUAACAAUCAAUAUGUAGAAGGAAGGAUAAAAAGAAUAAUUAAUGAUUGACUAAUUAGAAAUGCUUUUGCAAAUAGAAAUAUAACUAAAUAAAUAAAUGAACUUUAACCUAUGUUUUGUUUCACAAUUUUUUUUUUCCUUAAAUUAUAACUAUCUUACUUUAUGAAAAUUUCCGAGAAUCUUUAUAUAUUCAUAAAAUAUUAAGAUUUAUUUUGAUAUAAUUGAUAUCUACUUAUAUAUUUUUUUGAUAAAUAUAUAUUGAUUUAUAAGAUAAAAAAUCAACUUAUUUUUAAAAUAAGUAAUUUUUCAAUAUGUUCAAAUAAAUAACAAGACAAAAAAUUAUUAAGUAUUAGUAGAUACUUCAAAAUAAAAAAUAUACCAUAUAUAAAAAAUAUAGUUUUUAAUUAUUCUUAAUUGAUUGUUGACAAUGAGCAUUCAAUCAUAAAGAAGGAUAUGUCCAACUAUAAUACUACACCAAAUUUCAAUUAGAUAACUAUUAAAAGGCAAUUAAAUAAUUAGAUAAUUAAUCCAUUGGCUAUUGGUUCUUUGCAACACCUACUAUGCCAUAGGCAUAAGAGUUGUUUUACAGCCUUAUUGCAAUAUAAACGAGAUGCUGGUCAUUAUUAGACCAAUUUUGACAUGAUAGAAUCAAGUAUAGAUGCAUGAAGAUACAUGCCAACUUCAAUGCAUGAUUUCCAAUUUUUGUUCCAAUAUUAAAUAUUGUUUAAGCUACAAAAAAUAAAGUAGCACCUUUAAUUUGAAGAAAAAAGUAUUAGAAUUUAAUAAAGAUAGUGAUAUUAAAUUCUAAGUUCUAUUAAAGAUAAUAAUCAUCUUAGUUAUCUUGUAUGUAUUGUGAAGAAGAAGAUGCUUCUGGAAGAGAUGUGCUCUCUUGAUAAGGUGCAACUUUAUGUAGAGGAUGAAAUCUAUUUAUUUUCUUUACAUUUUUUAAGUAGAUUAUAGUGUAGGUUAGAUUUUCCUUUAAGUACACCAAUCAAUAGAAGAUAAGGGGCAAGUUUUGGACCUAAUAAAGAUUUUAUAAAUAAAUUGGCUUGCAUAUCAUUAAUAGGAUAGUAGUCAAAUUUGAUUUUUUUUAAAGUUGUAAGUUGCCAAAUAAAGUGAUAGCAAAUAGUAAUAUACUUAAUAUAGGAGUAGAAGUUUUUUGUAUCCACAAGUGCAAGAGCAGAUUGAUUAUUGAAAUAAAUGACAAUAGAAGUCUUUAAAAGUCCAACUUGCCAAAGAUUAUAGAGAAGAUGGUACAACUAUAUGGUUUUGGAAGCGAAAAAAAUCAUUGAUAUAUAUAUUUUGCUUUCAUGUUGGACAAAAUAGUGGAUUUUUGCCUUGUUUAUCACCAACUAAUAACUUAGUAAGAAAGGAAAAAAACAUAUCCAAAGAUUGAAUAGUGCUUGUCAACCUCGUGAGUCCAAUUGACAUUAUUAAUACCAAAGAAAUGAUGAAGAAGUUGUAAGGAUCAUUAGAUAUCGAAAGUUUAGGUAAGGAUGCUGUAGAUAUAGCAAAACAAAUAUUUACAUACUUGGACAUGUUUCUCUCUUAGGCUAUACAUGUAUUGUGGUAAUAUUCUUAUGACAAAUACAAUGUCUAAUUGAGUACAUAUGCUAGAAUAAUUGAGGCUUUCAAUGUUAUUUGCAUGUAAAAAUGUGAAAGAGGUAGAAGUAAAAAUUUGAGUCAAGGAAAAAUUCAUGAUAGAUAGUUUGAAGCCAUAUGCAAGUAAAGUUAAAACAAGAU
rnacentral:lncRNA from 1 species